CCUCUCCCCCUAGCCGUACUAGAGGAGGCAAAUCCUCGUACCACGAUUUCACGCUUGACAAGGUAACCCUGAAGUGCCCACGGGGCAUCGACUGGCUGUGGAACGUGAGUUCAAAGGGCUUCUAUCACCCCCUUUCCCAUGUCCACAUUCUGGCCUUUGAUCAAGUAGAGUACGGUGCACGGGGUUCCGUCGGCCUGCAAACACAUGUCUGCGGCAUAAAACAUCUGGAAGGCAACGAAAAUGGAAUAUUCUAGAUAUAUGUUGGUGUGACAUGUAAUUACCGUGAGGGCGUCGAGCUCAGCCAAAGACGAAGGCCCACCUAGCGUGCCAGAGACUGAGAAUGGGCUGCUAUGAGCGGGUGCGGGUGCGGGUGCGGAAGGAGGCCCGGUUGCGUGAGCAGGUGAUGGUGCAGUGGUGUUGUUCACCGAGUUGCUUCCGAAGAAACUAGGCAUGGGGGAAUCAUGUACCAUCUUGUCUGGAUUUUCCUUCGUCCAGUUCAUGAUAGCCGGGAUCAAGUUAGUAGCGAAAUUAGUUCAGCAGGCAUCUACAGAUGUAGCGACUGCCUGCUGUAGCAACUCAUUUCUCUCCUCAGCUACUUUUUCACGUCCUCGGCUGCUUUUUUCUCGAACGCAAGCUUCACCUUUUCGUCGAUGUUCGCCUGACUAAACUUCUUUUUCUGCUUCUUGGCCUUCGGGCCCUCUUUGUAAAAGACCUUCCACAUGGCGCCGUCUCUGGCGUCGUGCACACGUCCAUAUUGUGGCCGCUGCUCCAAAGGGAGUCCCUUUAGUCUGUUCAAGGCCCGACUGAGAGGGGUGUCCCACUUGGGCUUCAUCGGCGAAGUAGGACUUUCGGCUACAAGCUGGUGUUGCUUCUCCUGCAGAAGGAACAUGAACCAUUUAUGAAUGUGUAGUCAACUUGAUCAGAAGCUAAAUGUAAGGUGGUAAAAGAAUUAUUACCAGUAGUCUAAUCAAUUUCCUCGUGAUCUGGUCCGUGUAAAAAACCUUAUUUUCCUUGUCCCACUUGUAGCGGUCCCUGAUGAAGUCACGCUCCAAGGGGUUGGUGAACUUCGCGAAGGGGUCUGGGAGACCCGCGGCUUCACGUUCCGCAUCCUCCUUAUCCCAUAUGGGCCUUUUGCCAAGGUAGCCACGGCUUCCAAGGUGAUGCUUCCCCGUGUUCCUUUGCUGAAGGCUCUUGAAUUUUGCAGUCUUAGCCUUGGCUGCCUUGGUAGUGCAAGUGUCCUUGAAUUUUUCGAACUCCUCUUCCGUAAGUGUCGGAUUUUCCUACAGAAUCUUGGACAGGGGUUCCUCAGCCUCAACAGGUCAUUUCACCCUCCCUUUCCAAGAGGCCAAAUUAUUGCUAAACAUGCCCAUGGCGCGAUUGUUAAUCUUUUUCAUCUUCGGAUCAUCCCACGGUUGCUCUAUGCUAUCAUCCCGGUCGGGAAACUUGAAUCUCUUGUGCAACUUCGUUAGGAGCAACUGCCUCAAAUGUUCUUUACUCCUUAAGUCAUCGUUGUUGAUGGUCGCGCAUUCCCGUAGGAUGCAUCCUACUUGGUUCCCAUAGCACUUGCGAGGUUCUUCCGGCUCUAAUGUCUCAAAUUGCCAGGGGCCAUCUUUGUGAUCACGAGUCGUCCAAUGCCGAGUUUGUUAGGUUUUUGUAUCCUCUGCUUCUUAUUUUCGGUAGCGGCAUCAGCGCCGGUACCUUCAGCGUCGGUAUCUUCCCCGCUGGUACCUUCCCUGCCGGUCUCGGUGCCGCCAUCAUUGCCGGCAUCGUCGGUGUCGAUGUCAGCGUCAGUACCAUCAUCGAGGCUGACCUGCAAACCUUGACUCUGCUUAGCAGACAAAAAGUCGAGGUACUAUUGUUCACCCUCAUAAUCCAUCCCUUCUGCAUCUUGGUCAGAGCGCCCGGUUUCUUCGUUGUUCAACAUGUUUUCUAUGAUUAAGUCUCCUCGUUUAAGUCUAAAACUAUAAAAAAUGAGAAAUGCCAUAAUAAAAAGAUCUAUGUUUGUCGGAAUGAUGUUUCCCAGCAAAUCCCGGCGCCCGAUAUGCCUACUUUCUAGCACAAGUCAUGCCAAAAUUCACGAAAAAUUUCGGCAUGACCUUUGCUAAAAAGUCGACAUAUCAAGCGCCUGAAAUUCACCGGAACAGAAAUGAAACAACAUUCCGGCGAAACAUAGGCCACUCAGAUCAUUUGCCCUGCACAUAAUCAUCAUUUUCCAAAUAUGACAUGUCCAAAACAUCACAUGUCCAAAUAUGACAUGUCCAAAUUCCAAAUAUGACAUCUACAAAUCACAUGUCCACAUAUCACAUGUCCACAUAGCACAAGUCAUUUUUCUUCAAAAUAUUUGAAACUAAAUUCAGCCUACCUAAAUUUGAAACUAAAAAUAUUUGAAACUAAAUAGAUAACCUAAUUAACCUACUGCCCUAACUAAAACCUAACUAAAUUAACCGAAGAACCCUAGCUAGCAGAGAGAGGAGGAGCGGUGGGAGCUUACAGAGGGUGCAGGGGCAAGGAGGCAGGCCCGACGACGGCCGAGGUUGGGAGGUCGGGGGCAAGGGCGAGGUCGUCGGGCUCGGGGGCGAGCGCCGGGUCCGGGGUCGGGGGCAAGGGCGAGGUGGCCGGGGUCAGGGCAAGCACCGGGGUCAGGGACGAGGGCGGAAGAGAGAGUAGGGAUUUGGGUGAGGAAGCAAUGGCUGGAAGAAGCAGAGAGUGGGAAUUUUGGGUGUUAAGUCAGAAUAGCAGUAGCGUGUUUGAGCUAAACACGCUAUAGCUAACUUAGCUAUAGCGCAUUUCGCAAACGCGCUACUACUAUCAUAGGUAGUUAUAGCAUGUUUCUGUGGCUGGGCUGCUGCUAGUGUGACUAGUUGUAGCCCGUUUUCAGAAAAACUCUACCGCUAUAACGAGUACCUAUAUCAGUUUUCCUGUUGGUUUCUUCUAUUUUCUUUUCCAUUAUUUUCUCUCCCUUUUCUUUUCUUCUUUUUCUUUUCUUUUUUUCCGAGAUCAGGAACGAAGGGAAGGUGAUACGAUGUAUAUAACUAAGGCGAUAUAUAUUGCAUCAUUUGACGGUUAAGUAUGUAUACAAAAUAGUAACAUACUCCCUCCUUCCCUGUUUAUAGGGCUUAUCUCAAAAAAAUUGGUUUCCUGUUUUAUAAGUCUCAGUUUGAUUGUUCUCCAUCACGUCCUCAGAUUUCAAGGUGCAUUAAUUCAUUGCAUGCAAGGAUUAUGAGAAACUUGACCAAUGCAUGUACUUCAUGCAUGCAUGCAUUGCAAUUAAUGCAUUGGUAACACAAUUCUUUCAAUAGAAUGAGCGUGUUAAUUGAGUGCUUUUACAAACCACGGAAAUUAUUCCACCACUCAUCAUCUACCUUGGUUGGUGAGAUUUUUGAAUUGAGCCCUAUAAACCGGAAAGGAGGUAGUAUAUAUUAUAUCAUUUGACCCAUGCAUAACGAUUAAGUGUGUACACAAAAUAGGAACAUAUAUAUUACAUCAUUUGAACGAUAAUGGUUCCUCAGUGUCGACGUUUUUGAUUUUUGAGUGAGCUUCUUUCCCUUCUUGUUCGUUGAUGAAUAAUUGAGCCCCUCAUUGUGACUUUUCCUUUUCCAUGGAGUACGAUCUUUCUUAGGUAAUGUAGUAUCAAUUCUUCUUUUGUCGUAUACUUCAUCAUCAUUGUCAUCGUCAUCUUUGUCGUACUGCUCGUAGUCUUCCUCGUUGGCGACUCCAUCUAUUCCAAUGAUGUUCCUUUUGCCUCUCCUCACGACAACACGGCUGGGAUUGCAUGGAUCGGUUAUGAAGAAGCAUUGUGUCACGUGCUUAGCAUGUACCCAUGGCUCAUUUUUUGCGAUAGCGUUCCGGUACCACUCUUGGCGUCGGGUAUAGUCAUGGUAGUGAAAUACCGGUUUUCUCUUUCAACAUUCUUAGCCCAUCUGACACGGAACAUCGUCGCAUUGUGCAGUCCAGAGUAGUCAAGCUCCCAGAUCUCCUCGACCCUUCGGUAAAAUCUCUCAGUUGUGUUGUUGUCGCUACCGGUCAUGCAUUCCAUCGUCACCUUGAGUUCCGCUCAUCAUUGUCCAUAUCUUUGGCCUCCAUGUAGAACAUGUAUUCAUUGAUAUCGUAUGCCAGAUAGGUGAUGAGGUUGGGCGAGGGGCUGUGGGCUAAGGCAUAUAUGAGCAAUCCGUCCUUAGAGCCCUCUUCCGGGAGAUUAGCAAUAAUAUGCUCUUUGAACCAAUGCAGGAAAGUGGAGUUGUGCUCUCUAGUAACUUCGGCGUCCGUCUUGCAUACCCCCCUGUCAUGAUACUUCUUUGCGAUAGCUUCUUUGUGCAGUGCCACGAAAGGAUCUACCUGGUCUAGAUGUUGUAGCACUACCAAGUUUGCUCUGUCAAAGUCGUUGCGUCGAUCUGAGUAGGCCACAUGCAGUUCCCUGCGACCAUUGGAGUGACCUUCUCCUUCGAGCCUCCCAUCGUGCUUGUUAACGGCCAAACCAACACUAGGCGGCCGGUCUGCACCAUAUAGAAAAUUCUCGCAGAAAGAGAUGCACUCUUGUAUCAUAUAGCCCUGCAUGAUGCUUCCAUCCGGAUGGUACAUGUUACGAACGAAUCCUUUGAUGAUCCCAUUCAUCCUCUCAAAUGGCAUCAUGUUAUGCAGGAAUGACGGUCCCAGGUCUAUUAUGUCGUCCACAAUAUGGACACACAGAUGCACCAUGACGUCAAAGAACACGGGCAGGAAGUACAUCUCAAGCUCAUUUAGUAUCACAACGAUCUCUUCCUGUAGCCUUCGGAGCUGCUUCACACUGAUCGACUUUCAAGAGAUGACGUCGAAAAAGUUGCAGAGACCAAUAAGCGUGUCACAGACGUGUUUGUCCAUUAUCCCUCUAAGGGCAACAUGCAGUAUUUGCAUCAUCAUCACAUGAGAGUCAUGGGACUUCAUCCCGCUGAACCUUUUCUUCUUCGUGUCUAGAUAUCUGCUUAUCUUGCCACAGUAAUCAGAACUAACUUUGAUUCCGGUAAGGCACUUGAAGAAUUGAUCGAUCUCAGUCGGACUUCAGGUGAAGCAAGAAGGGGGGCAAUAAUCCUCUUCCUUUAAUUUUUUGCCCUUCUUCUCCCACGCCUCUGUCUCCAUCUCUGUCUCCUCUGACUUUUUACGGGGCGGCAUGUGUAGAUCUUCCCUGAUCUCCAAAUCCUGCAAGUCUUUUCUUGCCUUCGGCCCAUCCUUGGUCUUAUCCGGCAUGUUCAUCAGUGUUGCAAGCAAGCUCUCAAGGACAUUCUUACUGAUAUGCAUUUGAUCAAGGCAAUGAGGCAUGUCGAGUUUGUGCCAGUACUCCAAGUCCCAGAAAACAGACCUCGUCUUCCAUACCUCCAGCAGCGGCUCCGACGCCUUUUUCAUCGUAUUUCCCGGCGCGUGGCACUGUCCCCAGUUUUUCAACAGCUCAUCGAUUUCGGCGCCGCUCCGCCUAUGCGGAGGUCCUCGAUUCUCAGCCUCACCAUUGAAUAGAUCUCCAUGGUUUCUCCACGGGUUGUCCUUCUCAAGCCAUCUUCGAUACCCCAUGUACACAAUUUUCCAGACCCGCCAUCUUUCCUUGGUGUUAGCUACUCAGACGUCGUAUCAUCCAUGCACCGCGUGCAUCCGCAAUAUCCAUGGCACACCUUGCCUGCGACAUAUCCGUAACCGAGAUAGUCAUGCAUCGUUGUGAUCAACGCGGCUCUCAUAUAGAAAUACUCGCGUUUGCCAGCGUCCCAUGUCUUGGCCGGUGUUUUCCAUAACGUGUCUAACUCCUCUUGAAGUAGCCCAGAUACAAAUUAAUAUUAUUUCCCGGUUGUUUCGACCCUUGAAUCAGCAUGCUCAUGUGUAUGUACUUCGACUUCAUGCACAACUAGGGGGGAGGUUAUACAUCCAUACAAACACGGGCCAUGUGCUAUGGUUGGUGUUCUGGUUGCCAAACAGAUUCAUGCCAUCGGUACACGCGCCGAGCACGAUGUUCCUUGCAUCACAUGCAAAAUACCAAUAUUCGUCGUUGAACGCUUUCCACUGGCUUCCAUCCACGACGUGUCUCAGCUUUGGAUCAUAUCCAUCGUCGGGCUUCUUCCUCUCCGCGUGCCAGCACAUGAGCUUUGCUUCCUUGGGAUCUAUGAAAUACCGUUGUAGACGCGGAGUGAUUGGUAAGUACCAUACAAUUUUCUGGGGAUAUUUCUUCCCAGCCUUCUUGUAUCGAGAAGCAUUGCACACCGGACAGCUUGUUUUUCCGCGUGUUCCUCCCGAUAAAUUAUGCAAUCGUUGAUGCAUGCAUGGUAUCUAACGUGCGGCAGUUCAAGAGGGCACACGAUCUUCUUGGCCCCAUCCACACUAGUAGGCCAUAGAUUCCCCGCGGGAAGAACAUCCUUUAGGUACUUGAGAAGCUCAUCGAGGCUAGUGUCGGUCCAUUUGUUUUUAGCCUUCGUCUUCACGAGUUCGAGCAUGAAACUCAAGCGGGUCACCUCGGGAUUGCAACCAUCAUACAAUGGAGUGUUCGAGUCUACCACCAGUUGCUGCAGCUUCGCCUCCUCUCUAGAAGCAGCUCUCUCAGUACUCGUUUCCUUGAGAAGCAGUGCUUGAACAUGAGGGUCCCGCAUGAUUGAACGUAGUACCAACGAAGUCUGCGGCGUGGAGUCCAUGGUUUCUCCGCCGCCAUGUCCGGCCCCUUCUUCGCCGCCAUUAUCGAUCAUCUCUUCGUCUUGCCCCGUGUCGUCAUUGCCUGCCCCAUCGGCGUCCUCAACAUCAUCAUCAUCAUCUUCAAUUAUCCACCGAGUAUAGCCAUCCACGAAACCAGUCAUGAGCAGGUGCGCCAUCGCAUCAUAGGGGUCGAACCAAACUCUCCCUUUGCAUCUUCGACACGGACAUAAAACCACUGUCAGGUUAUUUUCUUUCAGGUCCUGCACCGUCGACCGCAACCACCUGUCCACCACUGUUUCACUGACCAUCAUGAACGCUGAUACGUCUCCAACAUAUCUAUAAUUUUUGAUUGUUCCAUGCUAUUAUAUUACCCAUUUUGGAUGUUUAUGGGCUUUACUUUACACAUUUAUAUCAUUUUUGGGACUAACCUACUAACCGGAGGCCCAGCCCGUAUUGCUAUUUUUUUGCCUAUUUCGGUGUUUCGAAGAAAAGGAAUAUCAAACGGAGCCCAAAUGGAAUGAAACAUCCGGGAGCGUGAUUUUUGGAACGAACGUGAUCCAGAGGACUUGGAGUGCAAGUCAAGAAGCAGUCGAGGCGGCCACGAUGGUGGAGGGCGCGCCCACCCCUACAGGCGUCCUCGAAUUAUCAGUUUGGUUUGGCCUACUAGAUUGUUCUUUCUUGCAAUGGGAGAAGUGCUUAGCUUUGGGUUCAAUCUUGUGGUGUCCUUUCCCAGUGACAGCAGGGGCAGCAAGGCACGUAUUGUAUUGUUGCCAUUGAGGAUAAAAAGAUGGGGUUUAUAUCAUAUUGCGUGAGUUUAUCCUUCUACAUCAUGUCAUUUUUCUUAAUGCAUUACUCUGUUCUUUAUGAACUUAAUACUCUAGAUGCAUUCUGGAUAGCGGUCGAUGUGUGGAGUAAUAGUAGUAGAUGCAGGCAGGAGUCGGUCUACUUGUCACGGAAGUGAUGCCUAUAUACAUGAUCAUGCCUAGAUAAUCUCAUAAUUAUUCGCUUUUCUAUCAAUUGCUCGACAAUAAUUUUUUCACCCACCGUAAUACUUAUGCUAUCUUGAGAGAAGCCACUAGUGAAACCUAUGGCCCCCGGAUCUAUCUUUUAUCAUACAAGCUUUCAAUCUACUUUUAUUUGCAUCUUUAGUUUUCCAAUCUAUAUUAUAAAAUACCAAAAAUAUAUUUAUCUUAUCAUAUUAUCUCUAUCAGAUCUCACUUUUGCAAGUGGCCGUGAAGGGAUUGACAACCCCUUUAUUGCAUUGGUUGCGAGUUCUUUGUUUGUUUGUGUAGGUGCGUGAGACUUUUGAGGAGCCUCCUACUGGAUAGAUACGUUGGUUCUCAAAAACUGAGGGAAAAUACUUACGCUACUAUUGAUGCAUCACCCUUUCCUCUUCAAGGAAAACCAACGCAAGCUCAAGACAUAGCAAGAAGGAUUUCUGGCGCCGUUGCCGGGGAGGUCUUCAUUGAAGUCAAGACAUACCAAGUACCCAUCACAAACUAUUUCCCUCGCAUUUACAUUAUUUGCCAUUUGUCUCUCGUUUUCCUCUCCCCCACUUCACCCUUGUCGUUUUAUUCGCACUCUCUUUCCCUUUCUUCUCCUCUCUCUCUUUCGCUUGCCUUUUUCUGUUUACUCGUGUGUUAGAUCGUUUACCUUGUCAUAAUGUCUAGUCCUCCUAUCCUUGUUAUUACUCCCGAACAUGAAAUUCUCAAUUUUAAACAAAGGGAGGGAGAAAAUUUAAAAGAUGCUUGGCAUAGAAUUUGCAAUGCUCAAAAUAAAUCUACUUGGAAGCUUUCUACUUCUGUUCUUCUUCGCAAUUUUUAUGUAGGCAUUACUCCUUGGAAUAGAUGUAUUCUUGAUACCAUUACCGAAGGGUAUUUCUUGAGUAGCCAUACGUUUGAUGCUUAUAAUGCUAUGUUAGAUUUAUUUGGCCCACCACCAUUUUUGGUUAAUGGAACUAUUUUAACUUUGGAACAUGUGAUGCAAAGGCUUGAAAUUAUUGAAAAUAAAGUUGCCACUGUUGAGUUAAUUGAAAAUUUGGAUAAAAAUAUUCAUAAUCAUAUUACCCAAUAUGGAUCUAGGGUUGGAGUUACUUUGAAAUUUUUUAAAGAGAAAGAACUUAUAGUCAACGAAAGAAUAGAUCUAGAUUCUGCGAGAAUCGGUAAACUUGAGGAUAUCAUUACCGACCUAGGGUCGGCGUUUUCUUCCGUGAAAAACACUCCAAAUCCUCCUACAAAAACUGCCAAAUUUAUCUAUGUUCCUAAAAAUAAGGGUGAAUCUUCUAGUAAGGGAAAUACGGAUCUCAAAUCAAUAAGUGUUCAUCCCAAUUGUCUCUCUAUCAUUAAGGAACCUUUUUCUACAAAUGAAUUUCUUGAAUUCUUGCCUAAGGGUUUAAUCAUUGCUAAAAAGGGAUAAACCCCUAAAGAUUAUAAGUGCUCUAUUGAGGAAUUGAGUGCCAAAGAUGGCACUACUUGAAUCUAUCCUUGCUUUUAUGCCUAGCUAGGGGCGUUAAACGAUAGCGCUAGUUGGGAGGCAACCCAAUUUUAUUUGUGUUUUAUGUUUUUGUUCCUGUUUAGUAAUAAAUUUUGCAUCUACCUUCUGUUUAGAUAUGUUUUUAUGUUUUAAGUAGUGUUUGUGCCAAGUAGAACCUAUAGGAUAACCUAUGGUGAUAGUUAAUUUGAUUUUGCUGAAAAACAGAAACUUUGCGCGCACGAAAUUAGUUUUGUUAAUUCACAGAAACGUGCUUUUGUGUUGAUUCUUUUUGCUGUAGAUCAAUAGACAAAUUAUCCAGGACUUCCUAUUUUGGUAGGAUAUUUAGAGUUCCAGAAGUAUUCGAGGAUUAUAGAUUGCUACAGACUGUUUUGUUUUUGACAGAUUCUGCCUUUCGCGUGUUGUUUGCUUAUUUUGAUGCAUCUAUGGCUAGUAUUAAGUGGUAUGAACCAUAGAGAACUUGAAAUACAGUAGUUUUAACACCAAUAUAAAUAAAGCAUGAGUUCAUUACAGUACCUUAUGUGGUGGUUUUGCUUUCUUUCACUAACGGAGCUUAUGAGAUUUUCUGUUGAGUUUUGUGUUGUGAAGUUUUCAAGUUUUGGGUAAAGAUUUGAUGGAAUAUGGAAUAAGGAGUGGCAAAAGCCUAAGCUUGGGGACGCCGAUGGCACCCCAAGAUAUUCAAGAAUAGCCAAAAGCCUAAGCUUGGGGAUGCCCUCGGAAGGCAUCCCCUCUUUCGUCUUCGUUUAUCGGUAACUUUACUUGGAGCUAUAUUUUUAUUCGCCACAUGAUAUGUGUUUUUCUUGGAGCGUCUUGUAUGAUAUUAGUCUUUGCUUUUUAAUUUUCCACAGUCAUCCUUGCUGUACACACCUUUUGGGAGAAGCCCACUUGAUUGGAAUUUGUUAGAAUACUCUAUGUGCUUCAGUUAUAUCUUUUGAGCUAGAUAGUUUUUGCUCUAGUGCUUCACUUAUAUCUUUUAGAGCACGACGGUGGCUUAAUUUUGAAGAAAUUGUUAAUCUCUCAUGCUUCACUUAUAUUAUUUUUAGAGUCUUUUAGAACAGCAUGGUAUUUGCUAUGGUUAUAAGUUUGGUCCUAGAAUGAUGAGCAUCCAAGUUGGGUAUAAUAAAACUAUCAUAGAAAGUGCAUAAAACACUAGGAUCAAUUUGAUGCUUGAAAAUUGUUUUGAGAUAUAGAGGUGGUAAUGUUAGAGUCAUGCUAGUGGGUAAUUAUGAAAUUGAGAAAUACUUGUGUUGAAGUUGGCAAGUCCUGUAGCAUGCACGUAUGGUAAAAUUUGUGUGACAAAUUUGUUGCAUGAGGUGCUCUUUGAAUUGUCUUCCUUAUGAGUGGAGGUCGGGAUCGCGUGAUGGUUAACUCCUACCAACCCUUCCCCUAGGAGCAUGCAUAGUAGUACUUUGCUUUGAGGGCAAGUAGACUUUUGCAAUAAGUAUAUGAGUUCUUUAAGACUAAUGUGAGUGCAUGGAUAUACGCACACUCACCUUUCCACUUUGCUAGCCUCUAUUAUACCGCUCAACUUUCGUUGGUAUCAUGCACCCAUUAUUUACCUUCCUUAAAACAGCCACCAUACCUACCUAUUAUGGCAUUUCCCUAGCCAUUCUGAGAUAUAUUGCCAUGCAACUUUCCACCGUUCCGUUAUUAUGACACGCUUCAUCAUUGUCAUAUUGCUCUUUGCAUGAUCAUGUAGUUUACAUUGUAUUUGUGGCAAGGCCACCCUCAUAACUUUCAUACAUGUUACUCUUGAUUCGUUGCAUAUCCCGGUACACCGCCGGAGGCAUUCAUAUAGAGUCAUAUCUUGUUUUAAGUAUUGAGUUGUAAUCUUGAGUUGUAAGUAAAUCUUGAGUUGUAAUCUUGAUCUUCAUUAGAGCAUUGUCCCAGUGAGGAAAGGAUGAUGGAGACUAUGAUUCCCCCACAAGUCGGGAUGAGACUUCGGACUUUAUAAGAAAAAAAAGAGGCCAAAGAGCCCACCAAAGAAAAAAAAGAAAGGCCAAAAGAAAAAAAGGGAAGGCCCCAAAAGAAAAAAAAGAAAAAAAAAAGAAAAAAUGAGGGAAAAAAGAGAGAAGGGACAAUGCUACUAUCUUUUUUUCCACACUUGUGCUUCGAAAUAGCACCAUGAUCUUCAUGAUAGAGAGUCUCUUAUGUUGUCACUUUCAUAUACUAAGUGGGAAUUUUUCAUUAUAGAACUUGGCUUGUAUAUUCCAAUGAUGGGCUUCCUCAAAACGCCCUAGGUCUUCGUGAGAAAGCGAGUAGGAUGGACACCCACUUAGUUUCUUUUGUUGAGCUUUCAUACAUUUAUAGCUCUAGUGCAUUUGUUGCAUGGCAAUCCCUACUCACUCACAUUGAUAUCUAUUGAUGGGCAUCUCCAUAGCCCGUUGAUACGCCUAGUUGAUGUGAGACUAUCUUCUCCCCUUUUUGUCCUCACAACCACCACCAUAUACCAUCAUAGUGUUAUGUCCAUGGCUUGCGCUCAUGUAUUGCGUAAGAGUUGAAAAAGCUGAAGCGUGCUAAAAAGUAUGAAUCAAUUGCUUGGCUGAAACCGGGGUUGUGCAUGAUGGGAGUAUUUUGUGUAAUGAAAAUGAAGCAUGGCCUAACUAUAUGAUUUUGUAGGGAUAAGUAUGUCUAGAGGGGGGGUGAUUAGACUACUUGACCAAAUAAAACUUAUCCUUUUCCCAGUUUUAGUCUUUGGCAGAUUUAAGCUAACUUAGCACAAGUCAAGCAAUCUCAACACAAUUCAAGCAAGCAUGCCAAGAGUAUAUGAGCAGCGGAAAGUAAAGCAUGCAACUUGCAAGAAUGUAAAGGGAAGGGUUUGGAGAAUUGAAACGCAAUUGGAGACACGGAUGUUUUUGUCAUGGUUCCGAUAGGUGGUGCUAUCGUACAUCCACGUUGAUGGAGACUUCAACCCACGAAGGGUAACGGCUGCGCGAGUCAAUGGAGGGCUCCACCCAAGAAGGGUCCACGAAGAAGCAACCUUGUCUAUCCCACCAUGGCCGUCGCCCAUGAAGGACUUGCCUCACUAGCGGUAGAUCUUCACGAAGUAGGCGAUCUCCUUGCCCUUACAAACUCCUUGGGUCAAAUCCACAAUCUUGUCGGAGGCUCCCAAGUGACACCUAGCCAAUCUAGGAGACACCACUCUCCAAGAAGUAACAAAUGGUGUGUUGAUGAUGAACUCCUUGCUCUUAUGCUUCAAAUGAUAGUCUCCCCAACACUCUACUCUCUCUCAUAGGAUUUGGAUUUGGUGGAAAGAAGAUUUGAGUGGAAAGCAACUUGGGGAAGGCUAGAGAACAAGAUUCAUAUGGUAGGAAUGGAAUAUCUUUGCCUCAACACAAGUGUAGGUGGUUCUCUCUCAGAAAAUGCAAGUUGGAAGUGUAGGUUCGUUCUAAUGGCUCUCUCCACGAAUGAAGAGUGGGUGGAGGGUUAUAUAUAGCCUCCACAUAAAAUCUAACCAUUACACACAACUUGCCAAUCUCGGUGGGACCGAAUUGAGAAACUCGGUCGGACCGAUUCAGCAAAUCUAGUGACCGUUAGGAUUUUUGGUGGGACCGACAUGCAACUCGGUAGGAACAAUAUGGUUAGGGUUAGGGCAUAAUGUAAUCUCGGUGAGACCGAUUACACAAACUCGGUGGGACCUAUUUUGGUAAUAAGCUAACCAGAGAGUUGGUCAGGUAAACUCGGUGGGACCGGUUCGCUCAUUUCGGUGAGACCAAAAUGUUACGAAAAGGAAACAGAGAGUUUACAUUGCAAUGUCAAUGGGACCGAUCGCUCAUCUCGGUGGUACCGAAACGUUACGAAGGGAAACAGAGAGAUUACAAUCCCAUCUCGGUGAGACCGAGAUCCCUAUCGGUGAGACCGAUUUUCCUAGGGUUUGUGGCAGUGGCUAUGACAUCUGAACUCAGUGGCGCUGGAUAGAAAGAAUCAGUGGGGCUGAGUUUGACUUUUGGUUUAGGUCAUAUGUGGAUGUGAGAAAGUAGUUGAGGGCUUUGGAGCAUAUCACUAAGCAUUUUGAGCAAGUAAGCCAGUAAGCAACACCUCAUCCCUCCUUGAUAGUAUUGGUUUUCCUAUAGAAUCAAUGUGAUCUUGGAUCACUAAAAUAUAAAAUGUAGAGUCUUGAGCUUUGAGCUUGAGCCAAUCCUUUUGUCCUUCGCAUUUUGAGGGAUCCACUUUUCUCAUCCAUGCCAUGCCAAUCAUUGAGCUCUCCUGAAAUAUUCAUCUUGAAAUAGCAUUAGCUCAAUGAGCUAUAUGUUGUUAGGAAUUACCAAAACCACCUAGGGAUAGUUGCACUUUCAAUCUCCCCCUUUUUGCUAAUUGAUGACAACAUAUAGAUCAAAGCUUCGACAAAUGAUAGUAAGAUUGAAAAACAUUGUCGCUUUUGAGAAGUAUGUGAAAUGUAAGAGCUCCCCCUAUAUUUGUGCAUAGUUUAAGAUUUGCUUUGGACUGCAAAUGCACAAUGAGUUAGGAUCAUGAGUUACUCUUCCAUGUCACAUACAUCUUGGUGGAGCGCUCAAAAUGAUAAUAAUUAAAUACAUGCACUCAUCACCAAGCAAAGUGAAUGAUCAUAUAAAGAUAAAAGGAUAAUGUCAUCCAACAAGCAUUAAGGUAGCAUAUGAUCAAACACCUGAUCAUCCAAGUAUCUCACAAAAGCAUGAAGUAUCUCAAACAAGCAAACAAAGUUCAACCACCAAAACAAGAGAGAACAAAAGCAACACUCUCUCUCGAAGCCUAUGAUCUAUACAUUUUUCUCCCCCUUUGGCAACAAGUUACCAAAAAGUUCAUAAAAAUGCAUAGUACUAAAUCAACUCUCAGGCUUGGUCUUCAGGUGGUGGUGUAGAUAAGACUCCAAGGACGAACGCAUCAGUUGAUGUAGAUGGAGCUAGUGGAGUAGAUGCUGGAGCUGGUGGCACUGAAGCUGUAACUGGUGCAGAUGAAGUGGCUCUGGUGUCUGGAACAGGCACUACAACUGAUCUCUGGCUCCUAGGCACUCUGGCAAAAUCAUCAGUAGUAGUCUUGCCCUUCCUCUCCUGCAUGUCAUCCUGAAGUUGCUCAACAACUGAUUGUAUCUCACUGACCUUCACAUCCAAGUAAUAGAACUUCUGCUCCAUGAUCCUCUCCAGUCUCUCCUGGUUUUGAGUCAGGGUGGCCAAUCCCUUCUCAAUCCUCAGAGUUGAGGCAAUCAAGUAGACAAGCUGAUCUUGCUUGCUCUUCAAGAAUGACUGAGAUGCCUCAUCAAUGGUUGGCAUCUCUGCAGCCUUUUCAGUCCUUGCCUUCUCCUUUUGCUUGUGCUUGCACAGAAGAUGGUUCAUCUUCAUCCAUUACCACUGUGUUAUCCUCAAAAUCUGGAUAGAUGGGCAUGUGUUCCUUGUCCAAGAGGUAUGUUCCUGUGCCCAUCUUGGAGUUGAUUAGCUCCUGGAUCUGUGGGGCAUAUCCACAACUUCUCUUCUGAUUUGCAGCAGUCCUCUUGAUAGUUUCUACUAUGAGGCUCACAACCUUGAACUUUUGAGGCACAUCAAAUAUGUGAAGUAGGUUGAUGGCAUGGCCUCUGAUCAUCUUGUGAUAUAUAGACUUAGGCAAAAGAGUGUGACUGAGGAUCCAGUUGAUUGUUGGCAAUCCUGGCAGAAGGUAAUGUACUGAUCCAAACUUGUGUGUCUCAAUAGCAGGAUAUGGGAUCUCUCUGUACAUGUGUGCCAUGGAGUUGUGAUCCUUCUUGUUCUUGGCAUGGACAUCCAAGUCAUCCUCUUUUUCCUUAGGUGCAUUGAUCAACUUUGCCCAUUCUUCAACUGAUGAUUGGUACCUUGUACCUUCAGACAUCCAGAGAAUCCUUCCAUCUGGGUAGAAGUGGGAUGUGGAGUAGAACUGCAUAAUAAGCUCACCAUUCCACUUUGUGAGCUUCUGCCCAACAAAGUCAUCCACCCCACAAGCAUUCAAACUGUCAUACACCCCUGGAUAAUGCUCUUCAUUCUUCCUGAUGUACUCCCAGUCUACCCAUCUCAUAUCACAAACAAUUGGCUUCUUGUCAAGCAGCACAGUCUCAUAGAAGUCCUGAUGUUCCUUUGUAUGGAACCUGUAGUAGCAGUUCUCCUCCUGACUGCAUAGGGAUCAGUCAACCUCCACUGCCUGAGACAUGCAUCCUUUCUCAGCUUCAUAUCCUCAGCUACAGGAUGAACAUCAUUGUGAUCUGGAAUUUUGGGCUUCAACUUUCUCAAGACAUGUUCCUCAUCAUCUUCUUCUUCAACAGCAGCUUCAGGCACUGGGGCCUUGUUCUUCUCUCCAGCAGGAAUAUUCCUUGUAUUCCUCUUGGGUGCAGAUUUGGGCUUUGGGGCAGCUGCCUUAGGAGCUUCUUUGGGCUUUGAUGAAGCAGCCCCUGACCUAAUGGCAUUACCCAUAAGCUUCUGAGCUUUAGGUGCUGGUGCAGCAACCUCUUCUUCUUCCUCCUCUUCCAUCAUGGAAGGCUUUCCAACAACCCUGGACAUGGUCUUCUUGACCCUUUCCUUCCUCUUCUUCCCUUCUGUAGCAGCCUCUUUGGGUUCAGAUUCCAAAGGUACUUGAGUAGAGGCUCUGGCCUUAGACAUGGGAAUUCUCUUUGCAGGUGCUUUGGUCUUCAUACUAGGCUUAGUGGCAGCAGCUGUGCCAUAUUCCUUCUUGAGCACCUUCUUCUUGGAAGUGGCCUCAUCCUCAAUAGCCACAUAGUCUUCAUCCUCAAAAUAUGAGGUUCUCUUCUUUCUGGCCCUGGUGGCUGCCUUGGGUAAGUUGCUGGGUGUCCUCCUGCUUCCAUCAUCAUAGCUGCUGGAGGGACUAGUGCCCUCACUCAUCUGAACCUGCUCCUCAGACUUGUUCUGACUGUCACUUUGAUCAGACAUGUUGCAAACAUUGACAGUAGACCCUGUGAAUAGAUAUAGAUGAGGUAGAGUAGAUGAGCAUCACAAAAAUACAAAGGUUUUUGUAAAAGAAUGAGUCAAAAACUUAGUUUUAGUUUUCCACAGAAAGCAUUUCGGAUCUACCGAUUUGUAAACUCGGUGAUACCGAAGCAGCUUUUGGAACCUAAACUAGUGAACCCGGUCAGACCAAGUCACAGUUCGGUGGCACCGAGACUGCUAGGGUUUCAUAAAGUCCUGAACUCGGUCACACCGAUUUGAAAUUCUCAGUUAGACCGAGAAUCACAUGUGCAAUGGCCUUAGCCGAAUUGGUGGAACCGAGUUCUACAACUCGAUUGGUCCGAGAUGGUUUCGGCGGAAACCUAACCCUAAAUUUUCAAUUCACAUCUAAACUACGGAGUGUUUUCGGUGGAUAAGAUCAUCUCAAUCGUGGCAAGAUUAAGGGCAAAACAAUGUGCUAGGAAUUCGGAGUGGAAUAGCACAAAGGUCAAGUCCAUACCCUAGUUCGGCGAUGGACUUGCUACGAUGGCAACGGCGGAGAAGAAUUCCAUUGACGGCGGCGGAGACCAGUGGCUGGAGGCAGCUGGCGACGAGGAGGACGAUCUGGAGACCCAGGGAGGCAGAGCAGGCUGAGCGCGGGCGAAAGAGUUCGGAGAAAUUUCCAGAAUUUGACCCGUGGAUAUAUAUAGCCUCACCCUGUCGGUGUGACCGAGUGGAACAACUCGGUGGCACCAAGAUGCACAACUGCUAGCAGUUACAGCCACUCGGUGUGACCAAAAAGUUCAAAUCGGUUGCACCGGAAUUGAAGACCUAGAUCGACUUAGUGAUCUCGGUAUGACCGAAAUGGAAGAAUCGUUCAGACCGAAACGCACAAAGAAGUUUUGGAAGUUUAAGUCUAUGACGAAUCGGAGACUCUGAGUGCUCCUCACACAGAGUGGUUCGAAUCUGACUUGAUCAAACUUUGUGAUGUAGCAUGAAUAGAGUUUGAGACAAGAAAAGCAUAGACAGCUAGAGAAGGUUCUUAGGCAUUCUUAUCCAUCCACUUGGCAAAAGAAAAGAGACCAAUCAAUCAAAACAACAAGUGGAUGUCCUCAAAUGAGUAAAAUAUGCAACCAACAUGCUCACACAAUAAAAUGACAAAUGAAAUAUGUGGCAAAGCAUGCACAACCAUUCUAGCAUCUAUCAAGCAAUUUGCGAUAGGUCAUCUAUAUAUGAGUAUAUUGACUUAGGAGUCAAAUGAUAACAUUUGAUAAUAGGUCAUACUCAUCGUUUAAGCUCAAGUGGGGUUGCCACUUUUACAUAAUGCAUUGUUGUGUUCACACCAUUAGAGUUGCUUUGACUCAAUUCUUAGAGUAAAGCUCCCCCUAGAUAUGAGAUCCCCCCUAAGAGGGAUGAACUAACCUUGGGUUUUGUCGAUGAUGACUUCAUGUAGGUGUUGAAGAUGUGGAUGCUCAAUGUUGAUGUAGAUCAUUUGGAGCAAUCCUUUGGAGUGAGUUGCGCUUUCAAUACCUACACGGGUUAGUCCCACAAGGAACAAACAAGGAUAUCCAUAGACAUAGAGUGAUGCACACACAAAAUGAUGUCUAUGAAAGCAUUAGGUUACCUUGUCUUACCAACAAGAGGGUUUGUGACUCCAUGAACUAGUGCAAGAUGUGGAAGUUUAUUCCACUUGUCCUUGCCAAAAUGAUGACAGUGAAGUAUGUUGGCGGAGUCACCCUCAAGAACUCUCUAGUUCUUCUUCUUCGGGAUCCACAUCAUCUUAAUAGGAAUCCUUGGAGUUGUAGACGUACUUGAUGAAGUAGAACUUGACGUAGUCUUGGGAACCCACUUGACCAAAGCCUUGGGAGCUUCUUCAAAUGCAUCAAUCUCCUCUUGAAGCUCAUCCUUGCCUUUUUGCUUGUGGUCUUGUGGUGGAGGAUCAUCUCGAGCUUGUGUCCCUUUGAAGGAAGUAGGAUCAUACUUCUCUUGUUGAGGAACAAACUUCGUCUUGGGGUAUUGAUCUUCUUCCCACUCAACUCCAUUGGCAUUGAACUUUCGUUCAAAACCAACACCUUGGUUCUUCCGGUGCCUUCCUUGCUUGCGUACAAUUUCCUCGAAUUGCUUACUCCCGGAAAGGCUCUUGUAAACACCUUUCUCUAUAACUCCCUUCAAUAAGCUAUUUUCUUGCUCAAGUGUAACUUGGCUAAGAGAACCAUUAGUGGAAUCAAGAGAACUACUAGAAGCAACAACAUUGGAUUUAGCAUGAUUAUUGUUACUACUAGAGGAAGAAUCCUUCUUGUUCUUGUUAUUAGAUUUGACUUGAGGCAUGUAAGUAGAUAAGAGUAAACGCUUGGCAAUGUAAGAAGAACUUUUCUUGCGAAGAUCAUCAUUGAUUGCCUUUAAGAACUCAUGCUCUUGCUCAAGGUUGAGCUUUUCAAAGCGUAACUUCUCAUGAGUCCUUAAAAGUUCUCAAUGAUCUCCUAAGAUUGUUUCAUGAGCUAACUUAAGAGUGUAUAGUUCUUUAGUUAGGAGCUCAAUCUUCUCCUUAUCAUUGUCAUUCGUUUUAUCUUGAGUAGCAUGAUUAAUGAAGUGGCAUCAUAGUAUUCAUCACUAGAGUUGUCAAUAAGUAAAUCAUCAUCACCUAACAAGUCAUCUUCAUCAUUAUUGAAAUCAACAUACUCGGGGUGUGUUACCUUUGGGCCUUUAGCCAUGAAGCAUCUUCCAAGUCCUUCGUUUGGUGAAUCAAAUAUGUCGUAAGAGUUGGUUGACACAAGUUCUAGACCGGCAACACCUUCAUCUUGAGUAUGUUCGGAGUCGGAGUGAUAGCUUCUCUCGGAGUGAUUGUCGGAGUCGGAGCCGGAUACUCAUUCACUAACAUGAGCUUGAUGUCUUCGUUGUGUGUAUCUCCUUGAUUUGUCCUUCCUUUCUGAAUCCUUGCUUCUCCGGGAUGUUCUUUUUUCAUAACAAUCAUCUCUACUCCUUCUCUCUCUUGGUGGUGAUUCUUCUCUUCUACUUCUUCUCUUAGGUGAUUCUUCUCUUCUCUUGUAGGGAGCCGUACACUCAUUGGAAUAGUGUCCGGGUCUUCCACAAUUAUAGCAAUUACGCUCUCGACUAGAAGAUCUUUUGUCAUUAUAGGACCUUGACUUGGAGCUUCUCUCUUUGCUUCUACUCUUGUAGAACUUGUUGAAGUUAUUCACCAUUAGGCUCAAUUCUUCAUUGAAGGUUUGUUUCUCACUUGAUGAUGUGGGAGCUUCGCAUGAAGCUUUGUAAGCACCACUUGACUUGUUGUGGAGCUCCUCCUUAUCCUUGAGUGACAUCUCAUGAGCAACAAUUCUUCCAAUGACUUCCGUUGGCUUGAGAUUCUUGUAAUUGGGCAUUAUUUGGAUCAAUGUGCACACGGUAUCAUAUUUUCCGUCCAAAGCUCUUAGGAUCUUCUUGAUAAUUAAUUUGUCAGUCAUCUCUUCACUUCCUAAGCCGGCAAUCUCAUUUGUGAUAAGAGCAAGCCUAGAGUACAUUUCAGCGACGCCUUCACCAUCCUUCAUCUUGAACUUGUCAAGUUGACUUCGAAGCACAUCAACCAAAGUAUCCCAAAUUUCCUUUGCAUUCUCAAGACGGCUGAUUUUAUUGAAUUCUUCGGGGCACAAUCCGUUGAAGAGGAUAUCACAAGCUUGAGCGUUGUAUUGCAGCAUCUUCAACUCAUCCGCGCUAGCUUCAUGGUUCGGUUCUCUCCCAUCAAAGAAUUCACCUUGCAAGCCAAUACACAAAAUAGCCCAAAUGGCGGGGUUAUGUCCAAGAAUAUGCAUUUUCAUCUUACGCUUCCAACUAGCAAAAUUAGUACCAUCAAAGUAAGGACCUCUACGGUGAAAGUUUCCCUCGCUAGACGCCAUACUCUCCUAGGUUCUGAGACCAAGGCUAUGACUAUCAAAAGCUAUGGAAAUCAAAGCAAAUGGAGACCAAAGCUCUGAUACCAUUUGUAGGAUCGAAAGUAUGUCUAGAGGGGGGGUGAUUAGACUACUUGACCAAAUAAAACUUAUCCUUUUCCCAGUUUUAGUCUUUGGCAGAUUUUAGCUAACUUAGCACAAGUCAAGAAAUCUCAACACAAUUCAAGCAAGCAUUCCAAGAGUAUAUGAGCAGCGGAAAGUAAAGCAUGCAACUUGCAAGAAUGUAGAGGGAAGGGUAUGGAGAAUUCAAACGCAAUUGGAGACACGGAUGUUUUUGUCAUGGUUCCGAUAGGUGGUGCUAUCGUACAUCCACGUUGAUGGAGACUUCAACCCACGAAGGGUAACGUCUGCGCGAGUCCACGGAGGGCUCCACCCAAGAAGGGUCCACGAAGAAGCAACCUUGUCUAUCCCACCAUGUCCGUCACCCAUGAAUGACUUGCCUCACUAGCGGUAGAUCUUCACGAAGUAGGCGAUCUCCUUGCCCUUACAAACUCCUUGGUUCAACUCCACAAUCUUGUCGGAGGCUCCCAAGUGACACCUAGCCAAUCUACGAGACACCACUCUCCAAGAAGUAACAAAUGGUGUGUUGAUGAUGAACACCUUGCUCUUGUGCUUCAAAUGAUAGUCUCCCCAACACUUAACUCUCUCACACAUGAUUUGGAUUUGGUGGAAAGAAGAUUUGAGUGGAAAGCAACUUGGGGAAGGCUAGAUAUCAAGAUUCAUAUGGUAGGAAUGCAAUAUCUUGGCCUCAACACAAGGGUAGGUGGUUCUCUCUCAGAAAAUGCAAGUUGGAAGUGUAGGUUCGUUCUGAUGGCUCUCUCCAUGAAUGAAGAGUGGCUGGAGGGGUAUAUAUAGCCUCCACACAAAAUCUAACCAUUACACACAAUUUGCCAAUCUCGAUGGGAAAGAAUUGAGAAACUCGGUCAGACCAAUUCAGCAAAUCUAGUGACCGUUAGGAUUUUCGAUGGGACCGACAUGCAACUCGGUAGGACCGAUAUGGUUAGGGUUAGGGCAUAAUGUAAUCUCGGUGAGACCGAUUACACAAACUCGGUGGGACCGAUUUUGGUAAUAAGCUAACCAGAGAGUUGGUCAGGUAAACUCGGUGGGACCGGUUCGCUCAUUUCGAUGAGACCGAAAUGUUACGAAAAGGAAACAGUGAGUUUACAUUGCAAUCUUGGUGGGACCGAUCGCUCAUCUCUGUGGUACCGAAACGUUACGAAGGGAAACAGAGAGAUUACAAUCCCAUCUCGGUGAGAUCGAGAUCCCUAUCGGUGAGACCGAUUUUCCUAGGGUUUGUGGCAGUGGCUAUGACAUCUGAACUCGGUGGCGCCGGAUAGAAAGAAUCGGUGGGGCUGAGUUUGACUUUUGGUUUAGGUCAUAUGUGGAUGUGAGAAAGUAGUUGAGGGCUUUGGAGCAUACCACUAAGCAUUUUGAGCAAGUAAGCCAUUAAGCAACACCUCAUCCCUCCUUGAUAGUAUUGGCUUUUCCUAUAGACUCAAUGUGAUCUUGGAUCACUAAAAUAUAAAAUGUAGAGUCUUGAGCUUUGAGCUUGAGGCAAUCCUUUUGUCCUUAGCAUUUUGAUGGAUCCACUUUUCUCAUCCAUGCCAUGCCAAUCAUUGAGCUUUCCUGAAAUAUUCAUCUUGAAAUAGCAUUAGCUCAAUGAGCUAUAUGUUAUUAGGAAUUACCAAAACCACCUAGGGAUAGUUGCACUUUCAUAAGCUUUCUUUGGCUAUGCUAUUUUGAUAGGACAUAAUUAUUUGUUAGUAUGCUUCGAAGCAUUAUUAUUUUUUAUGUUUUAUAAGCUUUUAUCUUGAAUCAUUUGGAUCUGAACAAUCAUGUUACAAUAAAGAAAACUACAUUGAGAAUUGUGCUAGGUAGCAUUCCACAUCAAAAAUUCUGUUUUUUAUCAUUUACCUACUCAAGGACGAGCAGGAAUUAAGCUUGGGGAUGCUUGAUACGUCUCCAACGUAUCUAUAAUUUCUGAUUGUUCCACCCUAUUAUAUUACCCGUUUUGGAUGUUUAUAGGCUUUAUUUUACACAUUUAUAUCAUUUUUGGGACUAACCUACUAACCGGAGGCCUAGCCUAUAUUGCUGUUUUUGCCUAUUUCAGUGUUUUGAAGAAAAGGAAUAUCAAACGGAGUCCAAACGGAAUGAAACCUUCGGGAGCGUGAUUUUUGGAACGAACGUGAUCCACAGGACUUGGAGUGCAAGUCAAGAAGCAGUCGAGGCAGCCACGAGGGUGGAGGGCGCGCCCACCCCUACAGGGCAUGCCCCCUAUCUCGUGGGCCCCUCGGGCGUCCACCGACCUACUUCUUCCUCUUAUAUAUACCCACGUACCCCGAAAACAUCAGAGGCGACCACAACAACUAUUUCUACCACCGUAACCUUCUAUAUCCGCGAGAUCCCAUCUUGGAGCCUUCGCCGACGCUCCAUCGGAGGGGGAAUCGACCAUGGAGGGAUUCUACAUCAAUACCAUAGCCCCUCCGAUGAGUUGUGAGUACUUUACCACAGACCUUCGGGUCCAUAGUUAUUAGCUAGAUGGCUUCUUCUCUCUUUUUGGAUAUCAAUACCAUGUUCUCCUCGGUCUUCUUGGAGAUCUAUUCGAUGUAACUCUUUUUGCGGUGUGUUUGUCGAGAUCCGAUGAAUUAUGGGUUUAUGAUCAAGUUUACCUAUGAGAAAUAUUUGAAUCUCUCUGAAUUCUUUUAUGUGUGAUUAAGUUAUCUUUGCAAGUCUCUUCGAAUUAUCAGUUUGGUUUGGCCUACUAGAUUGAUCUUUUUUGCAAUAGGAGAAGUGCUUAGCUUUGGGUUCAAUCUUGCGGUGUCCUUUCCAAGUGACAGCAGGGGCAGCAAGGCACGUAUUGUAUUGUUGCCAUCGAGGAUAAAAAGAUGGGGUUUGUAUCAUAUUGCAUGAGUUUAUCCUUCUACAUCAUGUCAUCUUUCUUAAUGCGUUACUCUGUUUUUUAUGAACUUAAUACUCUAGAUGCAUGCUGGAUAGCGGUCGAUGUGUGGAGUAAUAGUAGUAGAUGCAGGCAGGAGUCGGUCUACUUGUCACGGACGUGAUGCCUAUAUACAUGAUGAUGCCUGGAUAAUCUCAUAAUUAUUAGCUUUUCUAUCAAUUGCUCGACAGUAAUUUGUUCAUCCACCGUAAUACUUAUGCUAUCUUGAGAGAAGCCACUAGUGAAACCUAUGGCCCCCGGGUCUAUCUUUUAUCAUAUAAGCUUUCAAUCUACUUUUAUUUGCAUCUUUACUUUUCCAAUCUAUAUUGUAAAAUACCAAAAAUAUAUUUAUCUUAUCAUUUUAUCUAUUAGAUCUUACUUUCGCAAGUGGUCGUCAAGGGAUUGACAACCCCUUUAUUGCGUUGGUUGCGAGUUCUUUGUUUGUUUGUGUAGGUGCAUGGGACUUUUGAGGAGCCUCCUACUGGAAUGAUACCUCGGUUCUCAAAAACUGAGGGAAAUACUUACGCUACUAUUGCUGCAUCACCCUUUGUUGGAAAUAUGCCCUAGAGGUAAUAAUAAAAGGAUUAUUAUUAUAUUUCCUUGUUCAUGAUAAUUGUCUUUUAUUCAUGCUAUAAUUGUAUUAUCCGGAAAUCGUAAUACACGUGUUAAUACAUAGACCACAAUACGUCCCUAGUUGACUAGCUCGUUGAUCAACAGAUAGUCAUGGUUUCCUAACUAUGGACAUUGGAUGUCGUUGAUAACGGGACCACAUCAUUAGGAGAAUGAUGUGAUGGACAAGACCCAAUCCUAAGCAUAGCACAAGAUUGUGUAGUUCGUUUUGCUAGAGCUUUUUCAGUGUCAAGUAUCUUUUCCUUAGACCAUGAGAUCGUGUAACUCCCAGAUACCGUAGGAGUGCUUUGGGUGUACCAAACGUCACAACAUAACUGGGUGACUAUAAAGGUGCACUACAGGUAUCUCCCAAAGUGUCUAUUGGGUUGACACGGAUCGAGACUGGGAUGUGUCACUCCGUAUGACGGAGAGGAAUCUCUGGGCCCACUCGGUAAUGCAUCAUCAUAAUGAGCUCAAAGUGAUCAAGUGUUUGGUCAUGGGAUCAUGCAUUACGAUACGAGUAAAGUGACUUGCCGGUAACGAGACUGAACGAGGUAUUGGGAUACCAACGAUCGAGUCUCGGGCAAGUAACGUAUCGAUUGACAAAGGGAAUUAUAUACGGGGUUGAUUGAAUCCUCGACAUCGUGGUUCAUCCGCUGAGAUCAUCAAGGAGUAUGUGGGAGCCAACAUGGGUAUCCAGAUCCCGCUGUUGGUUAUUGACCAGAGAGCCGUCUCGGUCAUGUCUGCGUGUCUCCCGAACCCGUAGGGUCUACACACUUAAGGUUCGGUGACGCUAGGGUUAUUAGGAAGACUUGUAUGUGAUUACCGAAUGUUGUUCGGAGUCCCGUAUGAGAUCCCGGACGUCACGAGGAGUUCCGGAAUGGUCCAGAGGUGAAGAUUUAUAUAUGGGAAGUUGUCAUACGGUCACCGGAAUGUUUCGGGGGCAUAUCGGUAUUGUACCGGGGCCACCGGAGGGGUUCCGGGGGUCCACCGGGAGGGGCCACCUCUCUCGGAGAGCCUCAUGGGCCGUAGGGGGCAGGGAACCAGCCCCUGGAGGGCUGGGUGCCCCCCCUUGGGCCCAUGCGCCUAGGGUUGGGGGGNNNNNNNNNNNNNNNNNNNNNNNNNNNNNNNNNNNNNNNNNNNNNNNNNNNNNNNNNNNNNNNNNNNNNNNNNNNNNNNNNNNNNNNNNNNNNNNNNNNNNNNNNNNNNNNNNNNNNNNNNNNNNNNNNNNNNNNNNNNNNNNNNNNNNNNNNNNNNNNNNNNNNNNNNNNNNNNNNNNNNNNNNNNNNNNNNNNNNNNNNNNNNNNNNNNNNNNNNNNNNNNNNNNNNNNNNNNNNNNNNNNNNNNNNNNNNNNNNNNNNNNNNNNNNNNNNNNNNNNNNNNNNNNNNNNNNNNNNNNNNNNNNNNNNNAGAGGGGCGAGGGGAGGGCUGCACACAACAUCCAAGGCGCAGCCCCUCCCCUCCCCAACACAUCUCCUCCUCCGCGUGAGCUUGGCGAAGCCCUGCCAGAGAUCUGCCACUCCAUCACCACCAUGCCAUCGUGCUGCUGUUGGAGUCUUCUUCCUCAACCUCUCCCUCCUCCUUUCUGGAUCAAGGUGCGGGAUACGUCAUCCGCUCCGUACGUGUGCUGAACGCGGAGGUGUUGUCCGUUCGGCACUUGGUCAUCGGUGAUUUGGAUCACGGCGAGUACAACUCCAUCAUCCCCGUUCUCUUGAACGCUUCCGCUAGCGAUCUACAAAGGUAUGUAAAUGCACUCCUAUCACUCGUUGCUUAGAUGAACUCAUAGAUGGAUCUUGGUGAAACCGUAGGAAAAAUUUUAUUUUCUGCAACGUUCCCCAAUAGUGGCAUCAUGAGCUAGGUCUAUGCGUAGUUCUCUAUUGCACGAGUAGAACACAAAUCUGUUGUGGGCGUAGAUCUUGUCAACUUGCUUGCCACUACUAGUCUUUUCUUGCUUCAGCGGUAUUGUGGGAUGAAGCGGCCGGACCGACCUUACACGUACGCUUACGUGAGACAGGUUCCACCGACUAACAUGCACUGGUUGCAUAAGGUGGCUAGCGGGUGUCUGUCUCUCCUACUUUAGUGGGAGCGGAUUCGAUGAAAAGGGUCCUUAUGAAGGGUAAAUAGAAGUUGACAAAAUCAUGUUGUGGUUAUUCGUAGGUAAGAAAGCGUUCUUGCUAGAACCCAAUUGCAGCCACGUAAAAGAUGCAACAACAAUUAGAGGACGUCUAACUUGUUUUUGCAGCAAUUGUCAUGUGAUGUGAUAUGGCCAGAAGUUGUGAUGAAUGAGGAAUGAUAUAUUGUGAUGUAUGAGAUCAUGUUCUUGUAAUAGGAAUCACGACUUGCAUGUCGAUGAGUAUGACAACCGGCAGGAGCCAUAGGAGUUGUCUUUAUUUUUGUAUGAUCUGCGUGUCAUUGAAGAACGCCAUGUAAAUUACUUUACUUUAUUGCUAAACGCGUUAGCCAUAGAAGUAGAAGUAGUCGUUGGCGUGAAAACUUCAUGAAGACACGAUGAUGAAGAUCAUGAUGAUGGAGAUCAUGGUGUCAUGCCGGUGAGAAGAUGAUCAUGGAGCCCCGAAGAUGGAGAUCAAAGGAGAUAUAUGAUAUUGGCCAUAUCAUGUCACUGUUAUAUAAUUGCAUGUGAUGUUUAUUAUGUUUAUGCAUCUUGUUUACUUAGAACGACGGUAGUAAAUAAGAUGAUCCCUUAUAACAAUUUCAAGAAAGUGUUCUCCCCUAACUAUGCGCCUGCUAAAGUUCGUCGUUUCGAAGCACCACGUGAUGAUCGGGUGUGAUAUAUUCUUAUGUUCACAUACAACGGGUGUAAGACAGUUUUACAUAUGCAAAAACACUUAGGGUUAACUUGACGAACUUAGCAUGUACAGACAUGGCCUCGGAACACGGAGACCGAAAGGUCGAACAUGAGUCGUAUGGAAGAUACGAUCAACAUGGAGAUGUUCACCGAUGAUGACUAGUCCGUCUCACGUGAUGAUCGGACACGGCCUAGUCGACUCGGAUCAUGUAACACUUAGAUGACUAGAGGGAUGUCAAUCUGAGUGGGAGUUCAUUAAAUAAUUUGAUUAGAUGAACUUAAAUAUCAUAAACUUAGUCUAAAAUCUUUGCAAAAUAUGUCUUGUAGAUCAAAUGGCCAACGCUCAUGUCAACAUGAACUUCAACGCGUUCCUAGAGAAAACCAAGCUGAAAGAUUAUGGCAGCAACUAUUCGGACUGGGUCCAGAACCUGAGGAUCAUCCUCAUAGCAGCCAAGAAAGCAUAUGUCCUAGAAGGACCGCUAGGUGAAGCACCCAUCCCAGAGAACCAAGAUGUUAUGAAAGGUUGGCAGUCACGUGCUGAUGAUUACUCCCUCGUUCAGUGCGGCAUGCUUUACAGCUUAGAACCGGGGCUCCAAAAGCGUUUUGAGCAACACGGAGCAUGUGAGAUGUUCGAGGAGCUGAAAAUGGUUUUUCAAGCUCAUGCCCGGGUCGAGAGAUAUGAAGUCUCCGACAAGUUCUAUAGUUGUAAGAUGGAGGAAAACAGUUCUGUCAGUGAGCACAUACUCAAAAUGUCUGGGUUGCACAACCGCCUGUCCCAGCUGGAGAUCAACCUCCCGGACGAGGCGGUCAUUGACAAAAUCCUUCAGUCGCUCCCACCGAGCUACAAGAGCUUUGUGAUGAACUACAAUAUGCAGGGGAUGGUGAAGACCAUUCCUGAAGUAUUUUCAAUGCUGAAGUCAGCAGAGGUAGAAAUCAAGAAAGAACAUCAAGUGUUGAUGGUCAAUAAAACCACCAAGUUCAAGAAGGGAAAGAGCAAGAAGAACUUCAAGAAGGACGGCAAGGAUGUUGCCGCGCCCGGUAAGCCAGUUGCCGGGAAGAAGUCAAAGAAUGGACCCAAGCCUGAGACUGAGUGCUUUUAUUGCAAAGGGAAGGGUCACUCGAAGCGGAACUGCCCCAAAUACUUAGCGGACAAGAAGGCCGGCAACACUAAAGGUAUAUUUGAUAUACAUGUAAUUGAUGUGUACCUUACCAGUACUCGUAGUAACUCCUGGGUAUUUGAUACCAGUGUCGUUGCUCAUAUUUGUAACUCACAGCAGGAGCUGCGGAAUAAGCGGAGACUGGCGAAGGACGAGGUGACGAUGCACGUCCGGAAUGGUUCCAAGGUCGAUGUGAUCGCCGUCGGCACUCUACCUCUACAUUUACCCAAGGGAUUAGUUAUGAACCUCAAUAAUUGUUAUUUAGUGCCAAGUUUGAGCAUGAACAUUGUAUCUGGAUCUCGUUUAAUAUGAGAUGGCUACUCAUUUAAAUCCGAGAAUAAUGGUUGUUCUAUUUAUAUGAGAGAUAUGUUUUAUGGUCAUGCCCCGAUGGUCAAUGGUUUAUUCUUAAUGAAUCUCGAACGUAAUGUUACACAUAUUCAUAGUGUGAAUACCAAAAGAUGUAAAGUUGAUAACGAUAGUCCCACAAACUUGUGGCACUGCCGCCUUGGUCACAUUGGUGUCAAGCGCAUGAAGAAGCUCCAUGCUGAUGGACUUUUAGAGUCUCUCGAUUAUGAAUCAUUUGACACAUGUGAACCAUGCCUCAUGGGCAAAAUGACCAAGACUCCAUUCUCCGGAACAAUGGAGCGAGCAACCAACUUAUUGGAAAUCAUACAUACUGAUGUGUGUGGUCCAAUGAGCGUUGAGGCUCGCGGAGGAUAUCGUUAUGUUCUCACUCUCACUGAUGACUUGAGUAGAUAUGGGUAUGUCUACUUGAUGAAACACAAGUCUGAGACCUUUGAAAAGUUCAAGGAAUUUCAGAAUGAGGUACAGAAUCAACGUGACCGAAGGAUAAAGUUCCUACGAUCAGAUCGUGGAGGAGAAUACUUAAGCCACGAAUUUGGUACACACUUAAGGAAAUGUGGAAUCGUUUCACAACUCACGCCGCCUAGAACACCUCAGCGUAAUGGUGUGUCCGAACGUCGUAAUCGCACUCUGUUGGAUAUGGUGCGAUCUAUGAUGUCUCUUACCGAUUUACCGCUAUCAUUUUGGGGAUACGCUCUAGAGACAGCUACAUUCACUUUAAAUAGGGCUCCGUCUAAAUCCGUUGAGACGACACCGUAUGAAUUAUGGAUUGGGAAGAAACCUAAGCUGUCGUUUCUAAAAGUUUGGGGAUGCGAUGCUUAUGUCAAGAAACUUCAACCUGAAAACUCGAACCCAAGUCGGAAAAAUGCGUCUUCAUAGGAUACCCUAAGGAAACCAUUGGGUAUACCUUCUACUUAAGAUCCGAGGGCAAGAUCUUUGUUGCCAAGAACGGAUCCUUUCUGGAAAAAGAGUUUCUCUCGAAAGAAGUAAGUGGGAGGAAAGUAGAACUCGAUGAAGUACUACCUCUUGAACCGGAAAGUAGUGCAGCUCAAGAAAAUGUUCCUGUGGUGCCUACACCAACUGGAGAGGAAAUUAAUGAUGAUGAUCAAGGUACUUCGGAUCAAGUUGCUACUGAACCUCGUAGGUCCACAAGGACACGUUCCACACCAGAGUGGUAUGGCAAUCCUGUCCUGGAAAUCAUGUUGUUAGACGACGGUGAACCUUCGAACUAUGAAGAAGCGAUGGCGGGCCCAGAUUCCAACAAAUGGCUUGAAGCCAUGCAAUCUGAGAUAGAAAACAUGUAUGAAAACAAAGUAUGGACUUUGACAGACUUGCCCGAUGAUCGGCGAGCGAUAGAAAACAAAUGGAUCUUUAAGAAGAAGACGGACGCGGAUGGUAAUAUUACCAUCUAUAAAGCUCGACUUGUCGCUAAGGGUUAUCGACAAGUUCAAGGGGUUGACUACGAUGAGACAUUCUCUCCCGUAGCAAAGCUGAAGUCUGUCCGAAUCAUGUUAGCAAUUGUCGCAUACUAUGAUUAUGAGAUAUGGCAGAUGGACGUCAAAACGGCAUUCCUUAACGGACAUCUUAAGGAAGAACUGUAUAUGAUGCAGAUGGAGGGUUUUGUCGAUCCUAAGAACGCUAACAAAGUAUGCAAGAUCCAGCGAUCCAUUUAUGGGCUGGUGCAAGCAUCUUGGAGUUGGAACAUUCGCUUUGAUGAGAUGAUCAAAGCGUUUGGGUUUAUGCAGACUUGUGGAGAAGCCUGCAUUUACAAGAAAGUGAGUGGGAGCUCUAUAGCAUUUCUCAUAUUAUAUGUAGAUGACAUACUCUUGAUGGGAAAUGAUAUAGAACUUUUGGACAGCAUUAAGGCCUACUUGAAUAAGUGUUUUUCAAUGAAGGACCUUGGAGAAGCUGCUUACAUAUUAGGCAUCAAGAUCUAUAGGGAUAGAUCGAGACGCCUCAUAGGUCUUUCACAAAGCACAUACCUUGAUAAGAUUUUGAAGAAGUUCAAAAUGAAUCAGUCCAAGAAAGGGUUCUUGCAUGUAUUGCAAGGUGUGAGAUUGAGCUCGGCUCAAUGCCCGGCCACGGCAAAAGAUAAAGAAGAGAUGAGCGUCAUCCCCUAUGCUUCAACCAUAGGAUCUAUUAUGUAUGCCAUGCUGUGUACCAGACGUGAUGUAAACCUUGCCAUAAGUUUGGUAGGAAGGUACCAAAGUAAUCCCGGCAAGGAACACUGGACAGCGGUCAAGAAUAUCCUGAAGUACCUGAAAAGGACAAAGGACAUGUUUCUCGUUUAUGGAGGUGACGAAGAGCUCGCCGUAAAGGGUUACAUCGAUGCUAGCUUCGACACAUAUCUGGAUGACUCUAAGUCACAAACCGGAUAUGUGUAUAUGUUGAAUGGUGGAGCAGUAAGCUGGUGCAGCUGCAAGCAGAGCGUCGUGGCGGGAUCUACAUGUGAAGAGGAGUACAUGGCAGCCUCGGAGGCAGCGCAUGAAGCAAUUUGGGUGAAGGAGUUCAUCACCGACCUAGGAGUCAUACCCAAUGCGUCGGGGCCGAUCAAACUCUUCUGUGAAAACACUGGAGCUAUUGCCCUUGCCAAGGAGCCCAGGUUUCACAAGAAGACCAGGCAAAUCAAGCAUCGUUUCAACUCCAUCCAUGAAAAUAUUCAAGAUGGAGACAUAGAUAUUUGCAAAGUACAUACAGAUCUGAAUGUCGCAGAUCCAUUGACUAAACCUUUUUCGCGAGCAAAACAUGAUCAACACCAGAACUCUAUGGGUGUUUGAUUCAUCACAAUGUAACUAGAUUAUUGACUCUAGUGCAAGUGGGAGACUGUUGGAAAUAUGCCCUAGAGGCAAUAAUAAAAGGAUUAUUAUUAUAUUUCCUUGUUCAUGAUAAUGGUCUUUUAUUCAUGCUAUAAUUGUAUUAUCAGGAAAUCGUAAUACACGUGUGAAUACAUAGACCAUAAUAUGUCCCUAUUUGACUAGCUCAUUGAUCAAUAGAUAGUCAUGGUUUCCUGACUAUGGACAUUGGAUGUCGUUGAUAACGGGAUCACAUCAUUAGGAGAAUGAUGUGAUGGACAAGACCCAAUCCUAAGCAUAGCACAAGAUCGUGUAGUUCGUUUUGCUAGAGCUUUUCCAAUGUCAAGUAUAUUUUUCUUAGACCAUGAGAUCGUGUAACUCCCGGAUACCGUAGGAGUGCUUUGGGUGUACCAAACGUCACAACGUAACUGGGUGACUAUAAAGGUGCACUACAGGUAUCUCCGAAAGUGUCUGUUGGGUUGACACGGAUCGAGACUGGGAUUUUUCACUCCAUAUGACGGAGAGGUAUCUCUGGGCGCACUCGGUAAUGCAUCAUCAUAAUGAGCUCAAAGUGACCAAGUGUUUGGUCACGGGAUCAUGCAUUACGAUACGAGUAAAGUGACUUUCCGGUAACGAGACUGAACGAGGUAUUGGGAUACCAACCAUCGAGUCUCGGGCAAGUAACAUACCGAUUGACAAAGGGAAUUGUAUACGGGGUUGAUUGAAUCCUCGACAUCGUGGUUCAUCCGAUGAGAUCAUCGAGGAGCAUGUGGGAGCCAACAUGGGUAUCCAGAUCCCGCUGUUGGUUAUUGACCGGAGAGCCGUCUCGGUCAUGUCUGCGUGUCUCCCGAACCCGUAGGGUCUACACACUUAAGGUUCGGUGACACUAGGGUUAUUAGGAAGACUUGUAUGUGAUUACCGAAUGUUGUUCGGAGUCCCGGAUGAGAUCCCGGACGUCACGAGGAGUUCCGGAAUGGUCCGGAGGUGAAGAUUUAUAUAUGGGAAGUUGUCAUACGGUCACCAGAAAGUUUUGGGGGCAUAUCGGUAUUGUACCGGGGCCACCGGAGGGGUUCCGGGGGUCCACCGGGAGGGGCCACCUCUCUCGGAGGGCCUCAUGGGCCGUAGGGGGCAGGGAACCAGCCCCUGGAGGGCUGGACGCCCCCGCCCCCCUUAGGCCCAUGCGCCUAGGGUUGGGGGGGAAACCCUAGUGGGGGCGCCCCCUUGCUUGGGGGGCAAGCCCCCUCCCUUGCCCCCCCCCCUCUAGAUCUCAUCUAGAGGGGGCCGGCCCCCUUCCCCUUCCCCUAUAAAUAGAGGGGCGAGGGGAGGGCUGCACACAACAUCCAAGGCGCAGCCCCUCCCCUCCCCAACACAUCUCCUCCUCCGCGUGAGCUUGGCGAAGCCCUGCCGGAGAUCUGCCACUCCAUCACCACCACGCCGUCGUGCUGCUGUUGGAGUCUUCUUCCUCAACCUCUCCCUCCUACUUGCUGGAUCAAGGUGCGGGAGACGUCAUCCGCUCCGUACGUGUGUUGAACGCGGAGGUGCUGUCCGUUCGGCACUUGGUCAUCGGUGAUUUGGAUCACGGCGAGUAUGACUCCAUCAUCCCCGUUCUCUUGAACGCUUCCGCUCGCGAUCUACAAAGGUAUGUAGAUGCACUUCUAUCACUCGUUACUUAGAUGAACUCAUAGAUGGAUCUUGGUGAAACCGUAGGAAAAUUUUUAUUUUCUGCAACGUUCCCCAACACCAUUUCCUCUUCAAGGAAAACCAACGCAAGCUCAAGACGUAGCAAACGCCUGCAUGGUAAUAAUAAACAAAUUGAUUACAAAAAUGCAUGCAUGCAUCAAAGUCAUACAAAAAUUUGGCAUUACCUUCCCUAAAAAUAGGACAUAUAGACUUUGCCCGGAAUUCACCGAAACGAAAAUAAAUCGACAUGUCGGCAAAACAUAGGCAACUCACAAGCACAAUUUGGCAGCAACUCAUGCCACACACACAAUUUCCAUCAUAUCGCCCGAUUAUGUCAUAUCGCACACAUACACAUAUUUCCAUUCUUGCAAAAGCAUAACUUUUAAAUCACCUAUCUCGAGAUCGAGCACGGUGAUGAUGUUGUCGUGUCGCCACACACACCUGUGGAGUGAUCAAAAGUGAAAAAAGAUCUUCUUGACAAGGCUAUAGAUCAAUUUAGGGAGGUACAUAUGUCACUUCACUAAAUGCUAGCUAGAUCUACCUAGCUAGCUAGUCUGGGGGAGACAAGUUCAACUAGUGGAGGGGGCAGAAAAAAUACAAAGGAGAUGCAUUAAUGGAGGUGGUGUAGUUAGCUAGGAGUAAUAAAGAGAGAGAAAGAUAGGUAGAAGAAGGAGAGUAAUGGGGGGAGAAAUAGUGAGGAAGAAGCAAAGUGAGGGAGAGAGGAGGUGGGAGGGGAAAGUGAAGGAAGAGAGGAUGGGGGAGGGAGAUGGAGAGGAAAAAGGUGGUAUGGCUGCGGUUUAGCAGUAGCGCUGGUCGCAAAAUGCGCUGCUGCUAACACCGUAGCAGUAGCGCGCUCCAGGCGGACGCGCUACUGCUAAGCAGGGCCCGCCAUGUAGCCAGGUUCAAAAAUAGCAGUAGCGACGUGCAGAAAAAGCGUGCUAUCUAGUUAGCAGUAGAGCGGUUACCGUGGGCGCACUACUGCUAAACCUAGCGUGGCGGGAACGAUCGACCAAUUUUAGUAGUAGCGUGGUUCUACCGAGACGCGCUACUGCUAAGCUGGUAGCAGUAGCACCUGUUAACUGCACACGCUACUGAUAAUUAGCAGUAGCGCCCCUUUUUGACCAGCGUUACUGCUAAGUUUCUUUGUAUAAAGUUUUCCCUAGUAGUACGAGGUUGAUUUAAUCGAUGUGAUAAGUCUUUAUAAAUAUUGUCUAAGUGUUUAUAAAGGCCCGUCACAUCUUUUAAAAUUUAUUUUAUUUAUUUUCCGUGUAGGACAAUUAUGAAAAUGUCCCACAAUGUCUACUCCAUUUUGAUUUUUUACAAUUGCGAAAGUUAAAAAGAAUAAAAGGUUUUUCAUACAUGAUCUAUUAUUUUACGUGUAUUUUCCUUAUCACUUGAUUACAGAAUUUAUGUUGCAAUUUUAUCCUAAUAUUUUUGUGCUACAGCUAACAAGUGGGCCCAAAAACAGAGGGACACGCGUGUAUAGUCUCACCCGCUUCGCCGUUUAUGUUCAUCUCCUUUACUUAAAACCGCCACUCACCCGCGUAUAGUCAAAAAUCUAGUCUCUCGCCCCCUGUCGCCGGCGAGUAUCGCGGCCAUGCUUGGCAGCAGCUUCAUGUGCGCCGAAGAGUAUUGCUGCCACAUUUCCCCCUUGAUGAAACAUGCCGACUAGGGUAGCCGCCUGUCGCCGAUGCUUGCAGUGGUUCAAGACUUCCCCUACCAAAAAUAAAAACCCUACGUCGUCGGGUUCAAUCAGACGAAAUGAAGGUAAGUCUCUAUAUACAUCUCCUUAUCCGAUGCAUCUCACCUUAGUCCACUAUAAAACCCUUCCACAUGCUAUUUUUGAAAUAAUCGACGGUUUUGAUAUGCAGUGCGAGAAGUGUUUGGACACCAGGAAUCUCUGCGGUCUCCCCUAUGUUCAGAACGACAGGUACCUCCGCACAACGCUUUCGAAAUGAUUCAAAGAAAUUACAGUAUGGUUCUUAGAUUUGAAAUGUAUCAAACAUACAUGUCGUUCAAGUGUUUGGUUAAGUUGUGAAGAUUCUCUACAUGUGGAUUUUAACACAAAUGCUGAUGGAUUCCAUGAUUGGUUUAUAAGUAGAAAAGUCUGCUCAUGAGUUGAACAGAAUCCAUGCUUUUAAUGGAAAGUAUCUACAAAUAUAUAGACCUAACUAAAUUUGGUAAAGUGCCAAACCGUACCCCCUUGGUACCACUUGCUGCUACAUUCUCCUCUUUAGAUGUCAGAAAAUAACCUAUGUUGUAAUCUGAAAAAUUCUUUUAUGAUUAUUGUGAUAUAGAAAAUUCCAGAUUUGUAUUGCAGUAAUCAUUUUGAAACUAACAAAUUCAGAACCUAAUUUGUGAUAUCCAAUAUUCCUAAAUUUUAGUAAGCACUAUCGGAAAUUGUAUUUACCCCUCUCAUAAACAGUACCUGCUUCAUAAACAACCUAAAUAAUUUUGAGCAAUCACUGAAUUUUGCUCAGUGCAUCCCCUGCUUUGCAAGAGAUGAACUUCCGAAGAAGCUGAGUAUAAACAGAUCUGUCAGGACCAAUGUACAUAUCCAACUGGAGACAAGAGAGGGCCUUUGUUUUCUAUGCAGGAACAGGAAUGAAGAAGAUAGGACCUUUUUCACAGGACGUAUUUGGAAAGAAUUUGCCAAAGUGUACCAGUUGGAAAUAGAUAUGGAAAUGUCCCUCGAAGUAGGUGGAAAACCUAAACAUCACCUCUAGGUACGUUUGAGCACUGACCCAACAACUCAUCUGUGUAAGUAUUCUGGCAAAUAUCAAGCAAUUUUAACUAACAACAUUUCAUCGGGUUGCUAUAUUUAACAAAUCUUAUUUACUAAUAUUUUCAUAGCUUAUUGCAGAGUGGAUAUUGUAAAGAAAACAAUUAAUAGAAAACAUGGAGGUUAUUGAACGGAGCAGAGUAACCUGGGAAGAUAUGUUGCUUCUCAUUGGCUUUGUUGAUGAAAUUUGGAUGCACGCGGACGGUUACAAUGCUGGACCAAGAGAGCAUUCCUACGUGCCCGUGCACUUUGAAGAAGACCUACAUUGACGACAGAAUCAUGGUUAGAAUUGUAUCUACUCUCAGCAUAUUCAGAUAGUCCAGAUACUUAUGUAGAUUGCUUAAAGUGUUAAAAUUGUGUUAUGCCACCAGAUACUUCCAUGUGGAGAACUGACCAUUUUUCUCCAUCCUAGAGUGAUCAUUAGUUCCAAUUCAUACUCGGCUUCAGGAAAAGGAGACCGAGGAAUCGUGCUUACUAGGUGGAGCAAAGUAGUCGACGUGUACGACAUGGAUACUGAAGACAGGAUGAUCUUCGCGCUACACCAUGGACGUGCAAGGACCUUUCUCUGAGGAGUAGUCCUGACUCUCUGUCAUAUUCCCUAAGUGAUCGUCCAUCUCUGUAUGUCAUAUUUUGUACUACUGUUGGUACUGAUGUGAUAAUGAUGAACAUGUAUAUUCUAUGAAGAAAUACUCAAUGGAUUUCGAAACGAGCAUCACAACCCUACAACAUUGAAAAUUUUAUUCUAAUAUGCUAUAAACUCUUUCAUGGUAGAGUUUAUAAGGUACUACGAUCUGAACACCAACAAGCCAUUUUGUUACUGUUACCCAUUUUUCUAAACCGGCCUAUCAUUGUUUGUGACACGAAACAUUUUCUGUCGCACUACAAAUCGUCGAGAAAAAUGUGCGUGCCUAGUGACACCAAAAAGCGUCCCACAAUUGCAGGCCAGAACAUCACGAAGUUAGCUAGGGUGCUGCCCCAUGAGGAAAACACCUCGUGACGACGGCCCGUCACAGAAAAUGAUUUCAGGCGACGUUUUCUGUUUCGUCGCUAGGGUUUUUGUCAUUAAAUAGACGAACUUUUGUAGUGCUAAUAUGAUCUUGUAAAAAUUUAAAAAAUUUAAAAUUUAUUUACUAUUUAUUUUGAUUUUACUGCUCAUUAGAGAGCAUAUGCUCCCCAGAGCCAAAAGUCCGCUUCCUGAUCUUUGCAUUUUCUUUGGUGAUACUUUUACACGAGUAUAACACUUGAUCAUGUUUGUUGCCAACAAAUUUCAGGAAUUUUGAAGCAUUCUUGCAAUUUCUAUUUUUCUCUUAAAAAAAUAGUAUGCACUUGCACCCGAGAGCCAAUCGAGUUUGCUAUAAACUUCCUUCAUUUCUUUACUAUUUGCAAGACAAAAGGAACAUUCUUUUUGUUAACUAGAAAAAGGAACGACUUACUUGCACUAUUUUUAGUACGAUGGGCCUAUAUUGUAUUCGCUUGUGGCGCUCCCCGGCGUUUACUGCUGUUCGACCCACUGUAAACUCUAAAAAAAGGCCUAUCUGACAGUGGGUACUUAUCAAUUUCUUUUUGUGUGUGAAAUUGCCACAGAUCGCUCUGCUUUAGAAAAUUAGAAAUGUGCUUCUGUCAGUCCAAAAGUUAUGAUUUACCAAUAUAAGAAGCCAAAUCAAAGUAGUAACGAAGCACCCAGGCUCCAAGAAAAUCUGUGUGACCUAUCACCUGACAUCAACAACCGAAGUAAGGAACGAACAAGGCAGAUUCCUGCAAAUGGAGCUAAGAUCCCAAACCGCGGAAGAUCCAGCUUUCUUCUACCUCCCCACUCCAUCAGAAGCAGCAACGCCUGGGAGCGCCACAAGUGUCACGGCGCAAACACGCCGCGAGUCCCACGACCACCGGCCGAGGCAAAGCGGAACACGCGUGCAUGGGGGAAGCUUUGCUUUUCUACGUAGGUACUCACCCGCCAUNNNNNNNNNNNNNNNNNNNNNNNNNNNNNNNNNNNNNNNNNNNNNNNNNNNNNNNNNNNNNNNNNNNNNNNNNNNNNNNNNNNNNNNNNNNNNNNNNNNNNNNNNNNNNNNNNNNNNNNNNNNNNNNNNNNNNNNNNNNNNNNNNNNNNNNNNNNNNNNNNNNNNNNNNNNNNNNNNNNNNNNNNNNNNNNNNNNNNNNNNNNNNNNNNNNNNNNNNNNNNNNNNNNNNNNNNNNNNNNNNNNNNNNNNNNNNNNNNNNNNNNNNNNNNNNNNNNNNNNNNNNNNNNNNNNNNNNNNNNNNNNNNNNNNNNNNNNNNNNNNNNNNNNNNNNNNNNNNNNNNNNNNNNNNNNNNNNNNNNNNNNNNNNNNNNNNNNNNNNNNNNNNNNNNNNNNNNNNNNNNNNNNNNNNNNNNNNNNNNNNNNNNNNNNNNNNNNNNNNNNNNNNNNNNNNNNNNNNNNNNNNNNNNGAGCGGGGACUACGGUACUUUAUAGGUGUUAAUAAUCUCAAUCUACUCGAUCAGAAAUUAGCGAUGAAAUAGGAUAACCUCUAACUGACGAACGUGCUGAUUGCUGAACGGCCCAAGCCCAAAAGUAUAGCCUGGAAGUAGCCCAGCCAACAAUUGAUGCAUUGGCAGUCGAUCAAAUGAUUUAUCCACAUCGACCCGACCUGACGACUCAAUUUGGUUAUCCUCUCGCCCGUGCUAGGGUUCCAUCGAGCAUCGCCGCCAGGAGCCGGCAAAGGUGCGCCCGCCAAGCUCGGGGUGCUUCACGCCUAGUGGUUGCUGCCAAAUCUAAGGCCGAUCAAUCCGACCAUAUAUUUUCUCCCUGCGAUUCUCCCACGUCAAGCGUGAGUCCAAACCUGAUCUGGUGAUUCUCAUAUACGCAUAUUAAUAAUACAAGUCCAAACAUGAUCUGAUCUUUAUUUGGUGCAGUACUAAACAGAAUCGCUGGUGGCGUCAUGAACUGCCGUUGAUCUGUGCUUAUGGCAUCACAUCUAAAUCUUGAGAUGAUAAUGAAAUUUGUAAAUGCAAGCACGGAGUAUAAGGUAAAAGAGUAUCUGCUGGAAGUCUAAUUUAUUUAUUUUCCAAUUUGUCUAUGAUUCACCUUUUAUGAGAUAAUCAAACAUGCUUUCAAAAUGAAGGUAGCUGCCGAUAAAUUUCGUUUUAGCUUAGGAACUUGCAAUACACAUUUUCAAAGUAAAAGUUUCUCCGACCAUGAUUGCCUAAUAUUGGGAAGAAAAUAGCUGCAAAAUUCAUUGUCGCUGAGACUAUUGAUUUGUUAGAUUAGCUUGGUGGAUGCUGAGUUCCAUUUAAACAGACAAAAUUAUAGGUUUCUUUAGUUGCAAAAGCAUAUGCUGUUAUUCAAGAUUUGACUUAUACUUGUGCUAGGUUUUACGUGUGAUCCUCUUCGCCUCCCCUAUCAUCAAAUCCUGGCUCCGCCCCUGGUCAGUACCUCCACUCCAGUCAGUUGGUGCAUGCAUGGAUGGACCGAUAUGUUUUGCUUUCUGGAUUUAGUAUGUCGCCGGCCAGGUCGAGUGGUCGACGCGCGAGCUGAUUGAUUGGUCCUUCUUUUCCUAUGUAGUUUGGCCCUUGAUUUCUUUUGUACUCCAAAGUAUGAGGAAGGGCCACUUUUAGUUGCAAUUUUGCUGUCAUGCUGUUUCUUCAUCACUUGUGAUGAGUUGUGAGUAUCAUGCCCCAUACUUCGCAAAAAGAAAAAAAUAGUGGACGAAAUGAUAGGAGAAAAUUAUGUGCCUUACAAAAGUUGCAUCGGAAGGUUACUGACCAAAUUCUAGACAUCUGAUCCAGUGGAUAGAUGCAUCGAUGUCAACGGCCAACUGUGAGUAUGGUUUCCAUCAGCUAUUAUUUACAUCCCACUUGAUUUCUUGUGGAUAAUUUUCGAUCGUACUGCCUUGUUACUUAAAGUGUUGCAUAAGUGUUAAGAUGCGGUGUUAACGAACUUGUUCCCACGCGGCGUUAAAAUUAUGAUUUCUCUUUCGCCAAAUAAACACAUUAUGAUUUGCCAACUAUAAUAGCGAUUAGUCUCCCACAUUUGUGUUUUUCUUUGUAUUGUACAUACCAUAAUUGCUAGAUCAGAGAACAAACUUAUAUUUCAAACGUUUGCUAUCAUGCAUGCGCUUGAAAGUUUUGAGCGCGACAGUCAAAUUGAGCACGAGCUGGAGAUGCCGUAGCCUAUCGCCGUUCCGGUGGAGGCAAUGCGAAGGCUUAAAGGGUGCGGGGUUGCCGGUGCCGGAGUUGGUGGACCGGGUAUAGAGGGAAGAUCAGGGGAGGCGACAACACAACGGCUCGAGCAAGGCGGCUGGUGGUUCGCCCAGUGGCACCAAAGGGGGGAGGGGUGGAUAGGAGGAGGAUGAGGAUGCCACAACCGAUGGAUAGCCAAUUCUACAAAAAGCCAAAAAGAUGUGCUUAACAGUUAGGUCCUAUAUUUUGAGCAGAUUUAUAUCGCACUGAUUUGCAACACUGUAUGUGUGCCUAUUCUCUCUUCCUUUUAUUUUCUCUUCCGCCUUCGUCCCAUCUGGUGGCUGUCCAGCUCCCUCCCUAAGUUGCGAUGGUCCAAAGCGAAUUCCGUAAUAUGUGCACCCCUAAUUGUUGGGGUGGCUCGGUUGAUGAGGCCCUAGUGUAGGAGGUGGUGAUAAAGGAAAGUCUGAUGGUGUGAACCGCCAUAGAUGUGGAAGGUGGGAGUUGAGUGUGUUAGUGAGGAAAAGGGUAACAAUACGACGAGGAAAAAGCGUGAGGAAGGAGAGAGCCUUUAGGAUCUAGUAAAAGAAAGGGGAAGACCAAACAUAAUUUUUUUUGUAACCCGUUAUUCAUGUAAAAAUAGUAAAAUGAGUUUUACGAAAAUCAGAUAAAAACUUAUUUUUUGUAUACAUAUGGCUAAUGUUCGUUCUUCAAAUAAUAUACCGGUAUCGUAUACAUGAUAGUAGUAUCAUAUGUAAUAUUAAUGUAUGAUGCUCUCCACUAUGAUCAGCCUUUGAAGUUUUUUCUCGUUUACUUUCAUAUGUCGUUUUGACCAGCCUCCAUUUGGCAAAAAAAUGGCCAAUAAGACCCGGUAGUACAACAACCCCCAACAAAGACAAAAUUUACAUUUGGCUCCCACAAAAUUUACAUUCGGGUCCCUAGGGAGCCGACCACACACGCACACCGCCACGAGCUUAGGGCGCUCCACCGCAUCCAGACGCGGCCAUGUGCAAGUAAGAAUGAUGGGAUGCCUUUCAAGGAAAACCCAUUAGAUGGACAUCAAACAACAAUUUUUCAGACACUUAUCCACUAGCUUGGAGUGCAGCGUAUAGCUGUUGCAUGCCUUUUGAUUAGGGAAGCGUUAUAUUUACAUCUACUCCCUCCGUUUCCAAAUACUUGUCUUUCUAGGCAUUUUAAAUGGACUCAACAUACGGAUGUAUGUAGACAUAUUUUAAAGUGUAGAUUCACUCAUUUUGCGCCGUAUGUAGUCACUUGUUGAAAUCUCUAGAAAGACAAGUAUUUAGGAACGGAGGGAGUAGUAUCUUGUAAGAGAGGAAAUAAGACCACCUGCAAGCUGGUCCCAGUCUCAAAUGCAGUAGGGUGAAACAAAAUUAAAUCAUUGUGCGCCGCGCAUAGUUGAAAAAUACUCCUUGCUAGCCAUCCUAAUCGAUGGAAAAUCGUUAGAGAUCACACAUGGCCUACCUACAUUUUGCUUGGGCAAGGCAAAAGGUAACUGGAGCCCCACAAACCGCUCGAGGGUGCGUUGCAUGUGGACAAGGCACGAACAAAAAUCAAGGGGUCGACAUGCAGUUUCAUCAAAAAUCAAUUAAGAAAACGAGUUAGUUGGGCGUUGGCUGAUUCAUCAGUGACACAAACGGCAGCACGAAAUAGGGCGCGCGCGGGCGGGGCCUAAUCCACCACCAGCCAUCAGGAUCUUGUCGGCUAGGCCAAGACCUGCCCCUUUUUUUCCCCGCUCCGGCCGAUCCGAUUUGUUAUAGGCUGUCAAGCGGCGCAACCUGCAAGGUGCAAGCUCUUGAUUGGGACGCCCAUAUAACGUAGUAACAAAAAGCUUAUGGGUCGACGGAUUCCAAGCUUUUCUAGAGCAUCUCCAACAGGCGUCUAAAAACUGGACCGCGCGCUAAAAUUAGGUUUCUUGUGCGCCAGACAGCUCCAGCAGAAGCUGUAAAACAAUGCACGCGUAAAAAGGGUUGGGCGUGUGUUGAAAAAUGCUACCGCAUGUUGCAAAUUUGAGACACCGAAUUACACGCGCUUCACAAUUUACACUGCUUGUUUUUUUGGGCGCGCGUUUUUUGGCAUCUACUAAAGCAAUGUUGGGUCCGACGUACUAAAAGUGCUACAGUGACGCGCUAAAACUAUUUUAGGGCGUGAAAUUUUUAUGCACCUGUUGGAGAUGCUCUUACGUUGAUGCAAAGUCGUUCAUGCAUGCAUGCCAUUGCAUCCUUAUCUGCCACAUGGUGGAGGCCCCAUCUUGAUUUCAUGUGAUCUAUUACGGACAUGUCGUCUGCACCGUUGCUUUCUGCCGAGAUCUGACGGACGAUCCGGCAACUUUAUGUAGCCCCUCUCGAUUCAUAAGUUUGGGAACAGAUUGAUGCCAUUAGGGGCAAGAAAUUUGGACAGGCAAGUAGGCAGGACCGAAGGCACUGGAUUGUGAGAUAUUGCUCCCAACAGAUUGCCUGCUUGCAUAUUGCACUUGCACUCCUGAGUAAGGAAAUAACAGUAAAAGAGCUCGCCAAUGGGGUGGGUUUAUUGGGUCAUAUACAAAGCUUAAUACGUGAAGCACUUGCAAGUUGGCAGAGCAGAUCUGGAAGCAUGUGGUGUGGCCGGCCAAAUUGGUCAACAGACGUACAAGCAGUGAAACUUCUCUCCUUGCGUGGCCUGAGUUUCUACAACAUAUCUUACUCCAUAGCAUACAUUCGGUUGGAUGCUGUAUAGACCGACUAAUUUGUGUAGUACCAUGAUACGCGGUUCUUUCACCUCCGACACUAAUAAUCUAACACUAACACUGUGAGCUACUCGUUGUUGGAGUACUAUAGAACACAUGUUUGUAUUAGUCGCCGGACGUCGGUGUCGUCCAUAUCUGUUAAACGAAAACUCGCGCACAUUCCCCGGGUUUCCUCGUUUCCCCGCCUUUUCCUUCACUAGUCGUCCUGCACCUUUUCGUUUCACGCAAGUAAAGCAAGCAUACUUUAAUUUUUGGUCAAUGCAAUGCAAGGCCAAUUCAAGUUUAUCCAUUUUGAUUAAUCGUCCUUUUUUUAAAACCAGAGACACAACAACCAGGAAUUCGGGUCGAUCUCUAUCCCCGCCCCCACGCAACAUCCAAUGGUUUUGAAGGAAAAUCAAACGUAAUGGAGCAUAAACAAUGGAGAUUACACGAUCAUCGCUGAUGACAGGGAAGCCUUAACGCCCUCCCACAUGCCAAUAUUCAAUAUGCACAUGCAUAUCUGUGAGCUGCUUUCUUUGCCUUUGAGGGUCACCGUCUCACGAUAGGAAAUGACAGCUGGGUCGCAUGGGUAGAGCCAUCUGGCUGGGCUGGCUCGCCACCAAACCCACGCGGCCCGCCACGACCGGCCUGCGCCGAGAUGGUUCGCUGACGAGGCGCGUCGUCGGACGAAACGCUGACUCAGACCACCGUGGGCGCCAUGGAAGAAAGGCAGCUCAGAGGAGAAACUAAAGAAAGCUACUCCAAUGGCAGCGCAUGCAUGCACGGAGAGGAGACUGAGACUGGCCGAACGUGUAGUGACGGUGCCUUCCAUUCCAUGCACGCGCGAACCUUCUUAACUUCUUCUCUUCCUGGGGGCAGACCCCGCCGCCGAUAUUUUAUCCACUCCUGCUGCCACGGCGUCACCGUCGCCGAGUCAUCUCGCAAGAAGGUGCGGUAACGUGCGGUGUACAUACUCGUGGCAGCAUGGCAUUGAAUGCGCUCCAAGCUUUCUCGACUUUGAAGUUUGAACACACUGACUACGAACUUAAAACUAAUCUGAAGAAAAAAAAGAUGGAAAUUCGGUUGCGUUGCAUACUUUGCACAAACAGGGAUCGAUCAACGACUCACCGGCCGGGCGGCCGGCGACAAAGUUAGGGCAACUCCAACGCGGAUCAUUAAAAUGUAUCUCACCAAAUAUUCACACACACUUCCAAACGUAUCCGUGGACAGGGAUAGGGGUGGAUGUCAUCCGAUCACAGGCACCAAAUGCCCAUCUCUGAUCCGGCCUCUUCCAUUUGACAUGCAUAUCUUGCACAAUAACAAUUUAAGCACACUUUUAAUAGUUGCAAACAUAUGCAAUUGAUCCCAAAAGUUGUCGGUCCAGUUGUCUGUGCCAAAGGCCUCCUUGAACUCCAAGUUCGGUUGUCUGUGACAAAGACCUCACUAUUUAACUGGCCCGGUCUUCUUCGUUCAUGCGAAAUGCUUAAAUAUGCUUGUACGGUAGGCUUGGAUAAUAUUCACCGCAUCGGGAUCCAAGUCUGACGUCUUCAUGAAUAACGCUUUGGAGUCCUCCGAAGCGGCAUUGAUCUCAAGCUUCUUUUCUUGGAGCUUGAGCUUCGUAUCUUGCAUCUCUAUGAAGAUGUCGAACCCCUCCGCUCAACAUGGCACCCGCAUGGUUUGGGUAUGGGUAUUACGUGCCCAUACACACACCCGUCUCAAAAAUCUCCGCCCAUACCCAUACCCAUACCCGCACCCCAGGUUUCAAACCGUUCCCAUACCCAUACCCCGCGGGUAAAAAUACCCAACUAGGCGUGUAUACUUGAGCAUUUACAUUUCAACAUUUUGACACAUAUUGACAACAUUUCAACACAUGUAUACAACAUAUCAGCACGUGUAUACAAUAUUUCAGCACAUUUAUAACAUUUCGGCACACUUAUACAACAUUUCAACACAUUUAUUGUUGGAAAUAUGCUCUAGAGGCAAUAAUAAAAUGGUUAUUAUUAUAUUUCGUUGUUCAUGAUAAUUGUCUAUUGUUCAUGCUAUAAUUGUGUUAUCCGGAAAUCGUAAUACAUGUGUGAAUAUAUAGACCACAACACGUCCCUAGUAAGCCUCUAGUUGACUAGCUCGUUGAUCAACAGAUAGUCAUGGUUUCCUGACUAUGGACAUUGGAUGUCAUUGAUAACGGGAUCACAUCAUUAGGAGAAUGAUGUGAUGGACAAGACCCAAUCGUAAGCGUAGCACAAAGAUCGUGUAGUUCGUUUUGCUAGAGCUUUUCCAAAUGUCAAGUAUCAUUUCCUUAGACCAUAAGAUUGUGCAACUCCCGGAUACCGUAGGAGUGCUUUGGGUGUGCCAAACGUCACAACGUAACUGGGUGACUAUAAAGGUGCACUACGGGUAUCUCCGAAAGUGUCUGUUGGGUUGGCACGAAUCGAGACUGGGAUUUGUCACUCCGUAUGACGGAGAGGUAUCUCUGGGCCCACUCGGUAAUGCAUCAUCAUAAUGAGCUCAAUGUGACCAAGUGUCUGGUCACGGGAUCAUGCAUUACGGUACGAGUAAAGUGACUUGCCGGUAACGAGAUUAAACGAGGUAUUGGGAUACCGACGAUAGAAUCUCGGGCAAGUAACGUACCAAUUGACAAAGGGAAUUGUAUACGGGAUUGAUUGAAUCCUCAACAUCGUGGUUCAUCCGAUGAGAUCAUCGAGGAGCAUGUGGGACCCAACAUGGGUAUCCAGAUCCCGCUGUUGGUUAUUGACCGGAGAGGCGUCUCGGUCAUGUCUGCAUGUCUCCCGAACCCGUAGGGUCUACACACUUAACGUUCGGUGACGCUAGGGUUGUUGAGAUAUUAGUAUGCAGUAACCCGAAAGUUGUUCGGAGUCCCGGAUGAGAUCCCGGACGUCACGAGGAGUUCUGGAAUGGUCCGAAGGUGAAGAUUUAUAUACAGGAAGUUCAGUUUCGGCCAUCGGGAAAGUUUCGUGGGGUCACCGGUAUUGUACCGGGACCACCGGAAGGGUCCCGGGGGUCCACCAGGUGGGGCCACCUAUCCCGGAGGGCCCCAUGGGCUGAAGUGGGAGGGGAACCAGNNNNNNNNNNNNNNNNNNNNNNNNNNNNNNNNNNNNNNNNNNNNNNNNNNNNNNNNNNNNNNNNNNNNNNNNNNNNNNNNNNNNNNNNNNNNNNNNNNNNNNNNNNNNNNNNNNNNNNNNNNNNNNNNNNNNNNNNNNNNNNNNNNNNNNNNNNNNNNNNNNNNNNNNNNNNNNNNNNNNNNNNNNNNNNNNNNNNNNNNNNNNNNNNNNNNNNNNNNNNNNNNNNNNNNNNNNNNNNNNNNNNNNNNNNNNNNNNNNNNNNNNNNNNNNNNNNNNNNNNNNNNNNNNNNNNNNNNNNNNNNNNNAAGCCGCCCCCUUGCCCCCCCCUUGGAGAUUGGAUCUCCUAGGGACGGCGCCCCCUAGGGGCCCUAUAUAAAGAGGGGGGAGGGAGGGCAGCCGCACCCAAGUCCCUGGCGCCUCCCUCUCCCCACGCACCACCUCUUCCUCUCGCUGAAGCUUGGCGAAGCCCUACCGAGAUCACUGUUGCAUCCACCACCACGCCGUCGUGCUGCUGGAUCUCCAUCAACCUCUCCUUUCCCCUUGCUGGAUCAAGAAGGAGGAGACGUCUUCCCGACCGUACGUGUGUUGAACGCGGAGGUGUCGUCCGUUCGGCGCUAGGAUCUCCGGUGAUUUGGAUCACGACGAGUACGACUCCAUCAACCCCGUUCUCUUGAACGCUUCCGCUCGCGAUCUACAAGGGUAUGUAGAUGCUAUCCUCUCUCUCGUUGCUAGAUGACUCCAUAGAUUGAUCUUGGUGAAGCGUAGAAAUUUUUUAUUUUCUACAACGUUCCCCAACAGUGGCAUCAUGAGCUAGGUCUAUGCGUAGUUUCUAUGCACGAGUAGAACACAAAUUUGUUGUGGGUGUAGAUGUUGUCAAUUUUCUUGCCACUACUCGUCUUAUCUUGCUUUGGCGGUAUCGUGGGAUGAAGCAGCCCGGACCGACCUUACACGUACGCUUACGUGAGACAGGUUCCACCGACUGGCAUGCACUAGUUGCAUAAGGUGGCUAGCGGGUGUCUGUCUCUCCCACUUUAGUUGGAGCAGAUUCGAUGAAAAGGGUCCUUAUGAAAGGUAAAUAGAAAUUGGCAUGUCACGUUGUGGCUUUUACGUAGGUAAGAAACGUUCUUGCUAGAAUCCUAUUACAACCACGUAAAAACAUGCAACAACAAUUAGAGGACGUCUAACUUGUUUUUGCAUCAUGUGCUUUGUGAUGUGAUAUAGCCAAAAGUUGUGAUGAAUGAUAUAUAUGUGAUGUAUGAGAUCAUGUUCUUGUAAUAGGAAUCAUGACUUGCAUGUCGAUGAGUAUGACAACUGGCAGGAGCCAUAGGAGUUGUCUUUUUUUUAUGACCUGCGUGUCAUUGAAUAACGCCAUGUGAAUUACUUUACUUUAUUGCUAAACACGUUAGACAUAGAAGUAGAAGUAAUCGUUGCCGUGACAACUUCAUGAAGACACGAUGAUGGAGAUCAUUAUGAUGGAGAUCAUGGUGUCAUGCCGGUGACGAAGAUGAUCAUGGCUCCCCGAAGGUGGAGAUCAAAGGAGCAAUAUGAUAAUGGCCAUAUCAUGUCACUAUUUGAUUGCAUGUGAUGUUUAUCAUGUUUUACAUCUUAUUUGCUUAGAACGACGGUAGCUUAAAUAAGAUGAUCCCUCGCAAUAAUUUCAAGAAAGUGUUCCCCCUAACUGUGCACCGUUGUGAAGGUUCGUUGUUUCGAAGCACCACGUGAUGAUCGGGUGUGAUAGAUCCUAACGUUCAAAUACAACGGGUGUAAGCCAGAUUUACACACGCAAUACACUUAGGUUGACUUGACGAGCCUAGCAUGUACAGACAUGGCCUCAGAACACAGAAGACCGAAAGGUCGAGCAUGAGUCGUAUAGAAGAUACGAUCAACAUGAAGAUGUUCAUCAAUGUCGACUAGUCCGUCUCACGUGAUGAUCGGACACGGCCUAGUUGAUUCGAAUCAUGUUUCACUUAGAUGACUAGAGGGAUGUCUGUCUGAGUGGGAGUUCAUUGAAUAAUUUGAUUAGAUGAACUUAAUUAUCAUGAACUUAGUCUAAAAUCUUUACAAUAUGUCUUGUAGAUCAAAUGGCCCACGUUGCCCUCAACUUCAACGCAUUCCUAGAGAAAACCAAGCUAAAAGAUGAUGGCAGCAACUAUACGGACUGGGUCCGGAACCUGAGGAUCAUCCUCAUAGCUGCCAAGAAAGAUUAUGUCCUAGAAGCACCGCUAGGUGAAUCACCCAUCCCAGAGAACCAAGACAUUAUGAACACUUGGCACUCUCGUGCUGAUGAUUACUCCCUCGUUCAGUGUAGCAUGCUUUACAGCUUAGAACCGGGGCUCCAAAAGCAUUUUGAGCAACACGGAGCAUAUGAGAUGUUCGAAGAGCUGAAAAUGGUUUUCCAAGCUCAUGCCCAGGUCGAGAGAUAUGAAGUCUCCGACAAGUUCUUCAGUUUUAAGAUGGAGGAAAAUAGUUCUCUCAGUGAGCACAUACUCAAAAUGUCUAGGUUGCACAACCGCUUGACUCAGCUGGGAGUUAAUCUCCCGGAUGACGCGGUGAUUGACAGAAUCCUUCAGUCGCUUCCACCGAGCUACAAGAGCUUUGUGAUGAACUUCAAUAUGCAGGGGAUGGAAAAGACCAUUCCUGAGGUAUAUUCAAUGCUGAAAUCAACGGAGGUAGAGAUCAAAAAGGAACAUCAAGUGUUGAUGGUGAAUAAAACCACUAAGUUCAAAAAGGCAAGGGUAAGAAGAACUUCAAGAAGGACGGCAAGGGAUUUGUCGCGCCCGGUAAGCCAGUUGCCGGGAAGAAGCCAAAGAAUGGACCCAAGCCUAAGACUGAGUGCUUUUAUUGCAAGGAAAGUGGUCACUGGAAGCGGAACUGCCCCAAGUACUUAGCGUACAAGAAGGCCGGCAACACUAAAGGUAUAUGUGAUAUACAUGUAAUUGAUGUGUACCUUACCAGUACUCGUAGUAGCUCCUAGGUAUUUGAUACCGGUGCGGUUGCUCACAUUUGUAACUCAAAGCAGGAGCUGCGGAAUAAGCGGAGACUGGCGAAGGACGAGGUGACGAUGCGCGUCGGGAAUGGUUCCAAGGUCGAUGUGAUCGCCGUUGGCACGCUACCUCUACAUUUACCUACGGGAUUAGUUUUAAACCUCAAUAAUUGUUAUUUAGUGCCAGCUUUGAGCAUGAACAUUGUAUCUGGAUCUCGUUUAAUACGAGAUGGCUACUCAUUUAAAUCCGACAAUAAUGGUUGUUCUAUCUAUAUGAGAGAUAUGUUUUAUGGUCAUGCCCCGAUGGUCAAUGGUUUAUUCUUAAUGAAUCUUGAACGUGAUGUUACACAUAUUCAUAGUGUGAAUACCAAAAGAUGUAAAGUUGAUAACGAUAGUCCCACAUACUUGUGGCACUGCCGCCUUGGUCAUAUUGGUGUCAAGCGCAUGAAGAAGCUCCAUGCUGAUGGUCUUUUAGAGUCUCUGGAUUAUGAAUCAUUUGACACAUGCGAACCAUGCCUCCUGGGCAAAAUGACCAAGACUCCAUUCUUCGGAACAAUGGAGCGAGCAACCAACUUAUUGGAAAUCAUACAUACUGAUGUGUGCGGUCCAAUGAGCGUUGAGGCUCGCGGAGGAUAUCGUUAUGUUCUCACUCUCACUGACGACUUGAGUAGAUAUGUGUAUGUCUACUUGAUGAAACACAAGUAUGAGUCCUUUGAAAAGUUCAUGGAAUUUUAGAAUGAGGUAGAGAAUCAACGUGACUGAAAGAUAAAGUUCUUACGAUCAGAUCGUGGAGGAGAAUAUUUAAGUCACGAAUUUGGUACGCACUUAAGGAAAUUUGGAAUCAUUUCACAACUCACGCCACCUGAACACCUCAGCGUAACGGUGUGUCCGAACGUCUUAAUCGCACUUUAUUGGAUAUGGUGCGAUCUAUGAUGUCUCUUACCGAUUUACCGCUAUCAUUUUGGGGAUAUGCUCUAGAGACAGCUACAUUCACUUUAAAUAGGGCUUGUCUAAAUCCGUUGAGACGACACCAUAUGAAUUAUGGUUUGGGAAGAAACCUAAGCUGUUGUUUCUAAAAGUUUGGGGAUGCGAUGCUUAUGUCAAGAAACUUCAACCUGAAAAGCUCGAACCCAAGUCGAAAAAAUGUGUCUUCAUAGGAUACCCUAAGGAAACCAUUGGGUAUACCUUCUACCUCAAAUCCGAAGGCAAGAUCUUUGUUGCCAAGAACGGGUCCUUUCUGGAGAAAGAGUUUCUCUCGAAAGAAGUAAGUGGGAGGAAAGUGGAACUUGAUGAAGUACUACCUCUUGAACCGGAAAGUAGCGCAGCUCAGGAAGAUGUUCAUGUGGUGCCUGCACCGACUAGAGAGGAAACUAAUGAUGAUGAUCAAGGUACUUCGGAUCAAGUAACUACUGAACUUCGUAGGUCCACGAGGACACGUUCCACACCAGAGUGGUAUGGCAACCCUGUCCUCGAAAUCAUGUUGUUAGACAACGGUGAACCUUCGAACUAUGAAGAAGCGAUGGCGGGCCCAGAUUCCAACAAAUGGCUUGAAGCCAUGCAAUCCGAGAUAGGAUCCAUGUAUAAAGACGAAGUAUGGACUUUGACAGACUUGCCCGAUGAUCGGCGAGCGAUAGAAAACAAAUGGAUCUUUAAGAAAAAGACGGGUGCGGAUGGUAAUGUUACCAUCUAUAAAGCUCGACUUGUCGCUAAGGGUUAUCGACAAGUUCAAGGGGUUGACUAUGAUGAGACUUUCUCUCCCGUAGCGAAGCUGAAGUCUGUCCGAAUUAUCUUAGCAAUUGCCGCAUACUAUGAUUAUGAGAUAUGGCAAAUGGACGUCAAAACGGCAUUCCUUAACGGCUAUCUUAAGGAAGAACUGUAUAUGAUGCAGCCGGAAGGUUUUGUCGAUCCUGAAAAUGCUACCAAGGUAUGCAAACUCCAGCGAUCCGUUUAUGGGCUGGUGCAAGCAUCUCGGAGUUGGAACAUUCGCUUUGAUGAGAUGAUCAAAGUGUUUGGGUUUAUGCAGACUUAUGGAGAAGCCUGCGUUUACAAGAAAGUGAGUGGGAGCUCUGUAGCAUUUCUCAUAUUAUAUGUAGAUGACACACUUUUGAUGGGAAAUGAUAUAGAACUUUUGGACAGCAUUAAGGCCUACUUGAAUAAGUGUUUUUCAAUGAAGGACCUUGGAGUAGCUGCUUACAUAUUAGGCAUCAAGAUCUAUAGGGAUAGAUCGAGACGCCUCAUAGGUCUUUCACAAAGCACAUGCCUUGAUAAGAUAUUGAAGAAGUUCAAUAUGGAACAGACCAAGAAGGGGUUCUUGCCUGUGUUGCAAGGUGUGAAAUUUAGCUCAGCUCAAUGCCCGACCACGGCAGAAGAUAGAUAAAAGAUGAGUGCCAUCCCUAUGCCUCAGCUAUAGGGUCUAUUAUGUAUGCCAUGUUGUGUACCAGACCUGAUGUAAACCUUGUCGUAAGUUUGGUAGGAAGGUACCAAAGUAAUCCCGGCAUGGAACACUGGACAGCGGUCAAGAACAUCCUAAAGUACCUGAAAAGGACUAAAGAUAUGUUUCUCGUUUAUAGAGGUGACGAAGAGCUCGUCCUAAAGGGUUAAGUCGACGCUAGCUUCGACACAGAUCUGGAUGACUCUAAGUCACAAACCGGAUACAUGUAUAUUUUGAAUGGUGGGGCAGUAAGCUGGUGCAGUUGCAAGCAAAGCGUCGUGGCGGGAUCUACAUGUGAAGCAGAGUACAUGGCAGCCUCGGAGGCAGCGCAUGAAGCAAUCUGGGUGAAGGAGUUCAUCAUCGACCUAGGAGUCAUACCCAAUGCGUCGGGGCUGAUCACACUCUUCUGUGACAACACUGGAGCUAUUGCACUUGCCAAGGAGCCCAGGUUUCACAAGAAGACUAGGCACAUCAAGCAUCGCUUCAACUCCAUACGUGAAAAUGUUCAAGAUGGAGACAUAGAUAUUUGUAAAGUACAUACGGACCUGAAUGUAGCAGAUCUGUUGACUAAACCUCUCCCUAGAGCAAAACAUGAUCAACACCAGAACUCUAUGGGUGUUCGAUUCAUCACAAUGUAACUACAUUAUUGACUCUAGUGCAAGUGGGAGACUGUUGGAAAAAUGCCCUAGAGGCAAUAAUAAAAUGGUUAUUAUUAUAUUUCCUUGUUCAUGAUAAUUGUCUAUUGUUCAUGCUAUAAUUGUGUUAUCCGGAAAUCGUAAUACAUGUGUGAAUAUAUAGACCAUAACACGUCCCUAGUAAGCCUCUAGUUGACUAGCUCGUUGAUCAACAGUUAGUCAUGGUUUCCUGACUAUGGACAUUGGAUGUCAUUGAUAACGGGAUCACAUCAUUAGGAGAAUGAUGUGAUGGACAAGACCCAAUCGCAAGCGUAGCACAAAGAUCGUGUAGUUCAUUUUGCUAGAGCUUCUCCAAAUGUAAAGUAUCAUUUCCUUAGACCAUGAGAUUGUGCAACUCCCGGAUACCGUAGGAGUGCUUUGGGUGUGCCAAACGUCACAACGUAACUGGGUGACUAUAAAGGUGCACUACGGGUAUCUCCGAAAGUGUCUGUUGGGUUGGCACGAAUCGAGACUGGGAUUUGUCACUCCGUAUGACGGAGAUGUAUCUCUGGGCCCACUCGGUAAUGCAUCAUCAUAAUGAGCUCAAUGUGACCAAGUGUCUGGUCACGGGAUCAUGCAUUAUGGUAUGAUUAAAGUGACUUGCCGGUAACGAGAUUAAAUGAGGUAUUGGGAUACCGACGAUCGAAUCUCGGGCAAGUAACGUGCCGAUUGACAAAGGGAAUUGUAUACGGGAUUGAUUGAAUCCUCGACAUCGUGGUUCAUCCGAUGAGAUCAUGGAGGAGAAUGUGGGAGCCAACAUGGGUAUCCAGAUCCCACUGUUGGUUAUUGACCGGAGAGGCGUCUCGGUCAUGUCUGCAUGUCUCCCGAACCCAUAGGGUCUACACACUUAAGGUUCGGUGACGCUAGGGUUGUUGAGAUAUUAGUAUGUAGUAACCUGAAAGUUGUUCGGGGUCCCGGAUGAGAUCCCGGAUGUCACGAGGAGUUCCGGAAUGGUCCGGAGGUGAAGAUUUAUAUAUAGGAAGUUCAGCUUCGGCCAUCGGGAAAGUUUCGGGGGGUCACGGGUAUUGCACCGGGACCACCGGAAGGGUCCCGGGGGUCCACCGGGUGGGGCCACCUAUCCCGGAGGGCCCCAUGGGCUGAAGUGGGAGGGGAACCAGCCCCUGGUGGACUGGUGCGCCCCCCCCCCUUGGGCCCCCCCUGCACCUAGGGUUGGAAACCCUAGGGGUGGGGGCGCCUCACUUGCCUUGGGGGGCAAGCCACCCCCUUGGCCGCCGCCCCCCUUGGAGAUUGGAUCUCCUAGGGCCGGCGCCCCCCCUAGGGGCCCUAUAUAAGGAGCGGGGGAGGGAGGGCAGCCGCACCCAAGUCCCUGGUGCCUCCCUCUCCCCACGCACCAGCUCUCCCUCUCGCUGAAGCUUGGCGAAGCCCUGCCAAGAUCACUGCUGCAUGCACCACCACGCCGUCGUGCUGCUGGAUCUCCAUCAACCCAUCCUUUCCCCUUGCUGGAUCAAGAAGCAGGAGACAUCUUCCCGACCGUACGUGUGUUGAACGCGGAGGUGCCGUCCGUGCGGCGCUAGGAUCUCCGGUGAUUUGGAUCACAACGAGUACGACUCCAUCAACCCCGUUCUCUUGAACGCUUCCGCUCGCGAUCUACAAGGGUAUGUAGAUGAUAUCCUCUCUCUCGUUGCUAGAUGACUCCAUAGAUUGAUCUUGGUCAAGCAUAGAAAUUUUUUAUUUUCUGCAACGAUCCCCAACAUUUAUACAUAAAUUUUGACAUUUCAGCACACACACACAUAAAUCAUUUCAACCACUUAAGUUCGACACACAAGUUGGUUCAAGACACAAAUAAGUUCGACACACAAGUAGUUCAUUCAACCUCAACACAAAAGUAGGUUCAAAACACAAAUAAGUUGGACACAUAGUCAUUGCAGCCACUUGAACCUCUCCAACAUGACACCAAACCAACUUGAGUAGAUUUCGUCUUCUACUCACUUCAUGAGCCUUCGCAUCUCAAACCGCCAAAUCCUAAUUUGGGAAUUGUGAGACAUGAGAACUUGAGAGCUUUAUGUAUACAAGAUAUGUUUGCAAAAUCCUAAUUUCGGAAUUGUGGAUGGAUGGACGAGUUCCGGCAGCCCAGCGGGGGGCGCGUGCACGAGCUCGGCGGCAGCCGCUGGUGUUGGGGAAUGCGGUAAUUUAAAAAAAAAUCCUACGAUCACGCAAGAUCUAUCUAGGUGAUGCAUAGCAAUGAGAGGGGAGAGUGUGUCCACGUAUCCUCAUAGACCGAAAGCGGAAGCAUUUAGUUAACGCGGUUGAUGUAGUCAAACGUCUUCGCGAUCCAACCGAUACAAGCACCGAAUGUACGGUACCUCCGCGUUCAGCACACGUUUAGCUCGAUGACGUCCCUCGUACUCUUGAUCCAGUUGAGGCCGAGGGAGAGUUUCGUCAGCACGACGGCGUGGUGACGGUGAUGAUAAAGUUACCGGCGCAGGGCUUUGCCUAAGCACUACAACGAUAUGACUGAGGUGUGUAACUGUGGAGGGGCGCACCGCACACGGCUAAAACAAUUGUCAACUUGUGUGUUCUAGGGUACCCCCCUGCCCCCGUAUAUAAAGGAGAAAGGGGGAUGCCGGUCGGCUCUCUAGGGCGCGCCAAGGGGGGAGGAAUCCUCCUCCUAGUAGGAGUAGGACUCCCCCCCUUUCCUAGUCCUACUAGGAGAAGAAGGAAGGAGGGGGAGGAGAAGGAAGGAGGGGGCGCCUCCCCUUCCCCUAGCCCAAUUCGGACUAGGCCCAUGGGGGGGCAUGGCCAGACCCUGGCCGCCCCUCUCUCUCUCCCUUAGGCCCAAUAAGUCCCAUUACUUCUCUAGUGGUUCCGAUAACCCUUCCGGCACUCCGGUUAUAUCCGAAACUUCCCCGGAACACUUCCGGUGUCCGAAUAUAGUCGUCCAAUAUAUCAAUCUUUAUGUCUCGACCAUUUCGAGACUCCUCAUCGUGUCUGUGAUCACAUUUGGUACUCCGAACAAUCUUCGGUACAACAUAUCACAUAAACUCAUAAUACCAAUCGUCAUCAAACGUUAAGCGUGCGGACCCUACGGGUUCGAGAACUAUGUAGACAUGACCGAGACACGUCUCCGGUCAAUAACCAAUAGCGGAACUUGGAUGCUCAUAUUGGUUCCUACAUAUUCUAUAAAGAUCUUUAUCGGUCAAACCGCAUAACAACAUACGGUGUUCCCUUUGUCAUCGGUAUGUUACUUGCCCGAGAUUCGAUCGUACGUAUCUAAAUACCUAGUUCAAUCUCGUUACCGGCAAGUGUCUUUACUCGUUCCAUAAUACUUCAUCCCGCAACUAAAUCAUUAGUCACAAUGCUUGCAAGGAUUAUAGUGAUGAGUAUUACCGAGAGGGCCCAGAGAUACCUCUCCGAAACACGGAGUGACAAAUCCUAAUCUCGAUCUAUGCCAACCCAACAAACACCUUCGGAAACACCUGUAGUGCACCUUUAUAAUCACCCUUUUACGUUGUGACGUUUGGUAGCACACAAAGUGUUCAUCCGGUAUUCGGGAGUUGCAUAAUCUCAUAGUCUGAGGAACUUGUAUAAGUCAUGAAGAAAGCAGUAGCAAUGAAACUGACACGGUCAUAAUGCUAAGCUAAUGGAUGGGUCAUGUCCAUCACAUCAUUCUCCUAAUGAUGUGAUCUCGUUCAUCAAAUGACAACACAUGUCUAUGGUUAGAAAACAUAGCCAUCUUUGAUUAACGAGCUAGUCUAGUAGAGGCGUACUAGGGACUAUAUGUUUUGUCUAUGUACUCACACAUGUACUAAGUUUCUGGUUAAUACAAUUCUAGCAUGAAUAAUAAACAUGUAUCAUGAAUUAAGGAAAUAAAUAAUAACUUUAUUAUUGCCUCUAGGGCAUAUUUCCUUCAGCUGGGCGCGUCGUUGCGUGGAAGGUCUGGUGGUGCGGUCGUGCUUGCGCGGGGUAGAAGGAGGCCAGAGGUGUGGGUGCAAGGAGAUCCGAAGAAGCCGAGAAGGAGCAGGUCGAAGGCAGUGGCGCGGCGCCGACCGCCUAGGGUUAGCAGGUGGGCGGGAUUUGGGUUUGGUUGUGUGGGUGAUGGCGCAAGGGGGUGGGCGCGGUUUGGAUCGGGAAGGGGGGUGUGGGUGGUCCAGCCAGCAGUAGCUUAGGGUUUUCUCAUCUAAGUCAAUGACACAUGGGACCUACUUGACAGGGUUAUUAUUAUACGGGUUUGAGGGUUCACGAGUAUGGCUAUUGCCUUCCCAUACUCGUACCCGCCUUACCCAUUGGAUAUGAUUUUUUUCCCAUUUAGAAACCCAUGGGUAUUUUAAUUUCCCAUGCCCUUACCCUAAUAGGGUAUUUACCCGUCGGGUUCGCGGGUUGCGGGUACCCGUUGCCAUGUUGACUCUCCGCCUUCUUCCCCUCCUUCAUCUUGUGAUACUUGCCUCAUUCUUCUUCGUCGUGAUGUGCAAGAACUUCUCCGUCAUCUUGGCCGCCGCCCCUUCUCGCGUCUCCUUCUCCUCCUAUCACUUGCUCCACAAGUUCCUAAUCAUCUUCUUGGUCGGAGCAAGCCCUCCUUGUGCUGGAACGGUUGGAUCACAACCUUCGUAUUCAUUGAUCAUGACGGUCUUGGCAGAAUUUCAAACAAGGAGUUUCACUUGCUUUGUCCAUUCAACUUUAACCAACAAUGCAUAUAGUUGAAGUGCUUCUUCUCCAUCUUGUAAUAUAAUACACGCGCACAUAGGGACUAGAAAAGAAAGGUAAUGGAUGGUCAACAAGUUGCAACAUUAAGCAAAUCAGUAAAAUGGCCAACAAAUAGAGCCGCAUGCCACAAGACUUACGAGAUCUUGGAUUGUUGUACCACUUGGCCAUCAGGUUUUCACUUGUUUGAAAAAGCCGCGAAACUUGUUGAGGAUCUCUUGAAUAUUGUAUCAUCGAUGGCUGAGUGACUUUGAAUUCCGCUGAUGGAUCACUUCCUUGCGGUAGGGAUCGUUCUGCUUUUGCUGGUGAAACCAAAUAUGCAUGCUUUGCCAAAACGCCGCACCCUAAAAUGUAUCGAUGGCCAACCAUACCACACACAACAAUUCAUCCUUCUUUUGAGUGAAAUUUAGCCCCCUCCGCUUCAUCUUGGGUCGGCACACGAUGAUCACUGCUCGUUUGGAUCCAUGUCUGACUUCUGGGUGUCCCGCUGGCUGUGAGUGUUCCUUGGCUAAAAGUCCUUCGCUUGUCCAUCUUCGUAGUCGUCCGCGUCGUGGAUAGUUUUCAUCAUUGCGUCAUCGUCUACCCCGUCCCACUUGGAUGAUGCAUUGCGGUAAAUAGUGAUUGGGUACCGACGGAUGAGCGAUCCACAUCCGGCAUCUGCGACUGGACAAGCCCCGCCAAAUGCGACUCCAUGAAGACAUAAUUGGUGUUGAGGUUAACAGUGAACGGGACUCGAUGGCUGGAGGUGAAGGAGGACGCGGACUGCUGCGGCGAUUGUUGCAUACCAAAGUGUUGGGAGGUGUAGUAGUAGGAUGGCUUCGGCUGAGACGAUCACACCGUCGAUUGUGCAGGCCACACGAGGGUGGCGACAAGCUAUGUCGGAUGAGGUCCUUUCUAACCGAUCGCCUACGCACUGCCAGACUUCUUUCUCGCCUUGUGGCGACAGACGUUGCCUUCCACGCCUGCGACCUUCCGGGCGGCCUCCAUGCUCGGGUCCUUUGGCUCCGGCAGGGCGAUGAUCAACGGUCCUCCAGCGGUACCUCUAUCACUCCGAUGGACCGCCUAACGGUAGGAGGGAGGCGAUGAUCGAGACAGAGACAUGGAAAAUGGAUGGCUUUCGCAUGAGAACAUUGAUGGGAAUGUCCAAAUUAGUGAGCUCGGGUGGAGUUUGUGGGUGUAUUGGGCGUGUCGAAGUCCGACGUGGCGGUCGUCUGGACGCCCGCAAAUCUCCCCUACGUUUGAUUCCAAUUUGUGAGAUUUCAAACGUCCGGAUUGGUCCAGACAAAUUUAAUGAUUGUUGGAUGGCAAAAAGAUGUCUGAACUGUUUGAUCCAAACAUUUAGGGGCAUUUUGGUGAUCCAUGUUGGAGUUGCCCUUAAGGAUGGCAAAUUUUUCUUGUGCCCCCAAUUGCAUGGGUGCAUGUGACAGCCGGUUGGUUGAAGGCAUCAUCGAUCAUGGUCCAUGCAUGGAUGACUAGAUGUCACUCGUGACACGCACAAAAGUUUCGCAGUGGACCCUUGCACAUGCAGCACAACACUAGGCAGGCACUAGGGGUCCAGCUCCACCUAGGAAGCACUUGUUUUAUCCAGAAUCCUGGUGGGCGCGGGUGACUGUUCUAUUCAAAAGCUAAUUGGAUAAACACCCGGCUUUUAGUUAAGUUUUUACAGGUUCCGUCCAGAGCUUAUAAAAGGCGCCCCCUCCUUCCCAUUCAGAGCACGGAGCUCCAGCACCAACCCACAAACCCACAGACACACCAACAACCUCAAGACAGAGGCCGGAAACUGAGGCGCAAAGGAAGGAAGCAGAGCAAAGUCUUCUCUCCGCCUCCGCGUCUUACGAGAGAAACAAGCCUUCGGUUCUUCAUUCCAACAGGAAAUGGAGAAGGCAGGACACGAGCAUGUGAUCGGCAUCCCAGUGAGCAGCACUGCCAUCGGCAUCGAGGAGCCCGAGUUCACCAGCGAUGGACCUACCAAUGUCCACGGUGAUGCAAAAUACUCGACGAGCACGCGUACCGGCGGCAAAUCGGGCAGGGCAGCGGACAAAUUCGCUCGAGGAAUCAGAGAACAUGGUAAGUCCUCCUUCUCCAGUCCGUCUGGAUGAAUCUUGUAGCCUUUCCUGUUCAUAUGUAGGUUCAUCAGUUGUGAAUUAGACACUGAACAUAGAUAUGUCCUUGUGCAGUGAGUCUCGGCCCAAAACUGUACGAGACCGUGAGGGGCAAGCUGUCGCUGGGCGCGAGAAUCCUCCAGGCCGGCGGCGUGGAGAAAGUCUUCCGGCGGUGGUUCUCCGUGGAGAAGGGCGAGAAGCUCCUCAACGCCUCGCAGUGCUACCUGUCCACCACCGCCGGCCCGAUCGCCGGGAUGCUCUUCGUAUCGUCGGAGAGGGUGGCCUUCCGCAGCGACCGGUCGCUGGCGCUGACCUCGCCCAAGGGCGACACGGUGCGGGUGCCGUACAAGGUGGCCGUCCCGCUGAGCAGGGUGAAGGCGGCCAAGCCGAGCGAGAACCAGCACCGGCCGGAGCAGAAGUACGUCCAGCUGGUGACCGACGACGGCUUCGAGUUCUGGUUCAUGGGCUUCGUCAGCUACCAGGCGUCCCUGCAGCACCUCGAGCAGGCCAUCGCGGAGUCGCACCUCUGACCCCAUUGAUUGAUCAAAGAAGCACGUACGCGCUGUGUGUGUUGUGUUGUGUGUGUGCUGGUCCGGUUAAUAUGUUGUGCAUAGGUAAGUUAGGGUUUCAUGGUGGAUUGCUUGUCGUUUUUGGCAUUGGAGCAAGUCCGGUAUACUUAAAUGGUAGGGGAAAUUUAAUUUAGGGCGUGAAAAAUUCUUCAUGUUGAAGAAGUACUGUAUGUGUAUGGUACAGUCGCCACGGCAAAACUGCCAUCAUAAACGUGUGGUAUGCACUAGUUCAGUGAGAAAAAUCGUGAAUUGUUUGUUCCACUUCUUUACAACUUGCAAGUGCGUCCAGCCCGUCUCUUUUUUUCAGCAUUUCUUUGAGGAAAUGUUCUCAAAACCCUGUAAAGCUAAAGCUCAGGCCGAGACAGGCUGUGUAUGCUUACAUAAAGAUGUGAAUUUAUAUUAUCAAGAGAAAUCAAACCUAACUUGAGCUGUCAAGUGGCCAUAAUUCAUAGAAACACCUGUAAUGUAUGCAACUGCCCUAACCUACGUUAUUUGUUGAACUGAAAAGUACAGAAGAAAAGAAACAGCACUGAGAGAACAAAAUUUGUGGAACAAUACCAAAGAACACCGGAUGUCUAUCGGUGACGCAUGGACCUGGAACCACAAGUGGUGACAGCUAGCUGCAUAUUCAGGGGUAUGUCCCAAAUAUAUUUCUAAGCAUCACACUUUUUUGUGAAUGCCAUUAAGUUAAUCCCAACGAAAUUAAUACUGCAAUAUAUGGCCUCGCCAGCUGAUUCCCAUCGAAUAUUCUGAUAACACAUGCAUGUGGCUAUUUUAUACUAUUCUCUUCAACCAUAUUUAAGAACAUAAUGAGUAAUUAAUAAGAGAAGGAUUCAUAUGGAAUGGGCACUGUAUGUCCACUGCGACUGUUUUCUUUUAACAAAGGCAAAUGCUUUGCCAUGUUUAUUUAAUAUAAGUAGGGUCUUAUAACAUGUACAAGAGAGAGAGAGAGAAAAAGGGUCAAACCGAAAGCAUACUCUUCCAAUAUCAACUCUCCUAAUUGCUUUGCUUCGGCCAUCAUACAAGCUUUUGGUAACAAGAACCAAACACUUUUGAAGGCUUGUGUUCUGCUCGUUCCAAAUUAUUUAUGAUACAACAACAUAAGGUUGUGACGGGCCAUGCUGUCGAGGCAACCUUCAACUAGUGAUGCAAGGAGACCACAUACAACAAGUUUAGACAUAUGUCAUAUUGUUAGCCAAGAUUUUGCACCCCCGGCGACUCCGAGCUUGACAAGAUAAGCGGCGUCGCAGCGUAAGGAUCCUUUCGGCAUUGACAUGCCUUACAGUUCCUUGCCUUCUGCUUUGGUCAAAACUUAAUUUAGGCAGGCCCAUCUAGCCUCAUGGGUUGAUAACUUUUCACACGAUGAGGAUUCCCCACGGUCGGUAUUUUACAUUCCAAAAAUGCUAGACCUACGUAAUCUAACUACGUAAACUUAUGUUCCUUCCAUCCUAAACUAAUUAGGUCCCCCUGAUUUUCAGUGGGUAGGAGUGGGCAUGUUUUCUCUCCCAACCAAAUCUGACCACCUCAACUUUUUCGUAGGUUACGUAGAAAAAAUUAUGUAGAUGCAGCAAAGCUCUUUACAUGCCCAUGGAGGACCUUAUAUAGCCUAGGGGUCCUUCACAAAUGACCAAGGCUACCCUUGAGGAGACGAGGUAGGAGGGUAGAACUAUAGAUAAUUUCCCGUCCUUUGAUUCAUGUGCCUCUAGUCUAGUUAGGAGGUGGGUUGUAGCCCACUAAGUAGAGAAUCCCUAUACUAUUUGAAGGCCUUCUUGAUUGGGCUCGGGCUCUUUGCUACUUUGUAAUGUGGUCUUCUUUCUUUAACUUGUUGACCAUAAAUGUUUGCUUGGACUUCCAUUGACCAAGGUGGCUUGCUAGGACCCACGACAGCUUGCUUGGACUAUUUGUUCACCUCAUUGACUUGCGUGGAAUAUCCUUCAAUUUUGUUGACUACCGAUGUGGCAUGCCAUGUAGGAUAGGGGGUGGGACCUUGAGUAGGGUUGAACCCAUUACUACAACAGGACCAAAAGGCCAUUCUUGCACCUGAACUUAACAUUGUUCUCUACCCCACCCGGAGAGUGAAGAUAGAAAACCGUCUAGAUAUCAGAUUUAUUUUGUGAUAAAGGGCGUCUCUAUUAACUCAUCAUAUAACAUCAAGAGAUAAAAUAAUAAUGAGCAACAUUCGUCCUCUGUAUAACUUGGAUGACAAGCCCAAUGACAUCGAUACGCCCAUACAAGACUAAUAUGUAGCCCAACUCUCUAGCUCCAAAACCCACAUAUUUUGCAACAGGUUUAGGUUGCUUCAACGCAGUACGGUGUUCAGUCCCGUGGGAAUACCUCUUGCAAACCACACAAUAGACAUUACCUUUCAAGUCUUUAUUCCCAUGUCGAAUCCCUUUGCACUUGCCACAUAUUUGAUCACUCAUUCUGCCAUAUUUGCUCUCUCCUUUGUGGGCAAACUCUCUGGUGGACACCUCUUUGUCAUUUAAGGGCACAAAAAAUACAUUCAUUUUAGGAACAAUAGACAUGAGAUACUAUUUGUGCCAUAUGUUCACUUGGCAUAAAACCCAUCAGCCUCAUUCCCAAGCCAACAUGCACCAACUGAGGGAAAUUAUGAAUUGGUAAGGAAGAAAAUUGUACUCGCGACUGCUGCAAACUCCUCAUCUAAGCUACUCCACCAAUUUUUUGAUUAGAAGGGCUUGGAUUUUCCCACUUGUACCCCUUGUUGUGCUCCAGACACAUUGGUUAGGCAUAAAGGGGUUGCUACCAAACGUCCAAACCAACCUUGCAAUCUUCCAUUACUUUGACCCCGAUAGCCUGUCUGAGUAGGGGAAACCUACACCUCUAUUCAACCGAAAGACAUGUGCACCACUACUACCAAUAUUGUUCCCAUAGAAACCAUCUCUAAAUCCUCCUUCUCCAUCUUUCCCAUUAUAUUGAUCCUAGUUUCUGCUAUAUUGUCUGCCAUAAUUCUUCCUGCCCUGCCAAGAACGUGUUCUGACUGGAAUUACUACAUCACCUUGUCAUCCCUUGUUAGGCCUAGAUUGCCAUUUUCCUUGUCUUCCUGCCAUCAGAUCACCUCUAGUCUCUUCCCGCUCUUCCUCACAAAAACUAAAAGACCUACCCGCCACAGCCUCCUCUCUUGGGGUGGAGAGGGGACAGAAAUCAAGAUGAACUAGGGCGGGAAUGGGGGUGGGUAUAUCAAGAUACUCCCUCCGUAACUUAAUAUAAGACGUAUUUUGACACUGUCAUGGUGUCAGAGGGAGUAGCAGAUAAAGCUCUUUGUGUUUAAAGUUUCUCUCAAGAGCAACUCAACCCAGAAAUUAAGUGUGACUUGCUCUCCUCCUACCAUGGCUCAAAACAUACCAAGUUUAUUAAGAUUCAUGCACUCACGUGUUAGUUUAGAAAUCUAUGUAGCACAUCAAAAGGUCGUUGGUAUGAAUUCUGGGUUAGCAUUUGAUCGACCUAAUAAAACACACUGAAAAAUAUUCAUACGUUUACAUCUGCAUCGUAGGUGCAGGAGUAUUAUUGGGGGUAGGCGCAGCACAUCACCUUUUUUCCUUUCGAUAAAACGCAGGACAUCACUGUUACCACUACUAGUAGAAGGCCCGUGCGUUGCCACGGGCAUUUCCGUAUUUUUGUUGGUUGCAUAUAUAAAUAUAAUGCAUGUCAAAUUUAUGCGUGUAUAGAAAAGAUGACCAAUACAAUCAGAAAAUAAAUAAAAUUUACUUCACUUGCAAUGUAUAAGUUGACAAAAAUUACAAUAUGGCGAUUUAUACAUAGGGAGCAAUGAUUCAACAAAUUAUCUGUUACAAACUAAAAUCUACUUGAUGCAUUUAAGAUAUCCCCGUAUGACGUUAGUAAUGGUUGUCUUUAGCUUCAUUUGCAUGGUUCUAGCACGUAAGGUUAUGAUAAUUCAAUAUAUGAUUAUGAUAAUUUACACACAAUUGUAGAUCCAUAAAGUGUAUAGGAGGGUCUAGAACCAAGAAGACCUCAUCGCAUCCAAGCAUGCAUAUGGCCAUGUUGAAACAAAUCCAAAGAGUGCUCCCUGUUAAGUAGGGUUUAGGGUUAGGCCUACCAAUUGUAGGGUUUAGGGUUAGGCCUACCUAUUGUAGGGUUUAGGGUUUAGUAUAUCAUCAAAAGAAAUCAAAAAAUUGCUUUAGUAUAUCAUCCACACGAUUAACAUGCCUACAUGUAGGAGUGUACUAAUAAAGAUUUUUUUUAUCAAUUUUGCUUUCUCAAGAGUUCAUGUAACAUAAUAAGUUUGUGUUGAUGAAUAUAUAAACUUAAUUUUUGAGUUUGGCAAGUGUUUACCCAUCAGUUUGCAUUUGAUUUAUGAAUCUAUUUUACACGGACCAGUAUGUAACAUUGAGAUCACUUGUUGGUGAUUAUUCUCAAGAAAUUACUUGGGGCAUGUGAUAUUUUCAUUAAAUAAAAAAGUAUGUGGCAACUCUCACAGCAAAAAACCACUUUUCCCUUACACAUACACACAAUAAAAACAACUAUACCUUUAUUCCAAAAAACCAAAAGCACAUUUCUCGACAUUCAUUUUGUUCCUUAGCAAUUUCCCCCGACCCACGCGUUGCCUAGCUCUGGCGGCUCAAGGGAAACCUAACCGUGCCGUCGUCCCUUCCCCUCGCUGGCUCCUCCCUUGACCGCUACCGCGAGACCAUGUCGCAGUGGCGGCGAACCCCAUUCCCACAGGGGAUGGGGAUCGCCGGUCGUCCUUGCGCGGCGGAGCAUGUCUGUCGGGGCAGCAGGCCUGGGCUAGUGAUGGGGGCACUCUACGGCGUGGCGGCGGUGCAUUGCACGCCUGCUUGCAGUGGUUACGAUGCGGUGGCAGGGAUUCAUCUCGCGCAUUGGUGCUGUUCACGGCAGGGGAGGCGUCGUCCCUUCCCAAUAUGUGUGGCGUGAGCUUUGGCUGCGCAUUUGCCCGUCCCUGCGACGCGAUUCCGGUGGCUGGGGGCUUGGGUUGAAGCUCUGCUAGGUUUGCGUCAGUGGUGACCGCUGCUUCUGUUGGCGGCUCGCCCGCUUGGUGCGAUUGUGUGGCAGCCCACCCUCCUGGCUCUCUGGUAUUGUGCGUCGCGUCGCCUUCAGUUUUCUUCAGUGUCUUGGCUCGGGAGACUGCCAAAACGGUCCGUCCUCGGGCGGAUCUAGCUCGCUAGUUCUUUCCGACUGGCGGCGAGGAUUGUGGUAGCUCCUACAUGGUCAGGGUGUGGUGGCUCCAUUGAGGUGUGUGGUCCAUCGGAGCUGUUGUGCGUGGGGGUGUGGGUUUGGGUGGUGCUCCGGGCGAAAGCUUGUCGGGCUCUUGCUGGCUGACGGCAUCGGCGUCUGUGGACGUCGUUUCAUGUCGUUGGAGACGCCACUGUGGAUUCCACCCUUUUCGCACCCUUGGAUCCAGUUCAUUGGGCAAAAGCCUAUGGCCUGGUCAGGUCGGACGAUGAUGUCGGCAUCACCGCUUCCCUCUUUGGGUCGUCGCCUGGAAGAACUUUGGAUCCCGUUUGUGCGCUCCAUGGGCUGGACGUUCGCCAUUACGGUCGGCAGGUGCCCGUUCAACAAUGUUUUUGAUCUGCGAGGCUUCUUUUCUGUGGCAAUGAUGGUGGCUUCGGCCAGAGAUGGCUUGCUGAUGGUCUUGGUAGUUGGUCUCUUCCGGUGUGUUCGAGGGGUCGCCGUGCCUUGCUUUGUCUUCCUAAAGUCGGAGCUGCUGAGGAGGGGCCAUUGCGGUGAAGAUGACACGAGACAGGUGGUCGGCUCUGUGGCUGGCUCGACGCAAACCCAACGCUUUUCUCCCCCAAUGCUCGUCGACAAAGUCGGAGCUGAUUGGUCGCCGGCACGUGUGGGUGACUGUUUGGCAUCAACCGCCGCAAACCUUGACGCUUGUUUGCGGUGAGGGCUUCUUUGGUGGUCGUCGAUGGUGGAGUUGGAGUCACCCUCAGGGAGGGGUGAUGACGGUGAUGUUGAGCUGCAACCUCGACAACGCUUUUCUCCUCGGUGACGUGUGUAUGUUCUUGUGCGAGUUGCCGGGUCGCCUCGUGUGGCUUGUUUUUGUGGGCGUGAUAUGUGACGGUUUAAAUCCUUUUUUGUUAAUUAAGCAGGUAAUUCUCUUUGACCUUUUUAAUGAAUCGGACCUAAGGACCGCGUUAAAAAAACAUGCUCCUUUUCUUCUUAUUAUCUUGGAAAAAAAUAUCACUCUCUCACCGCACGGUCACGACACAAGCCUUCACUCUCUCCCUGCAAGGCAGCGGUGCUGCCAUCUCUCCUUAUCUCCCCGCCACGGCGUGGCCGCCGCCAUAUCUCCCCUCAUGGCUACUCCCAGCUGCCUCCCCUCCAUGGCGUGUCAAUCAACCCACACCCUUCUCUCACCGCCGCCUCCCAUCCCCCAUGGCGUCGCUCAUCCCAUCCACUCCCCGCCACGGCGUUGCCAACACAUCUGGCACGGCGAGCAGCGAGAUCCGACCGGGAGGUGGAGAAGGCCUCGUUGUUAUCCGUUCGCAGAAGUCCACGUAGCUGGCCUGUCCGGAUUUGGGCAAGAUGACCUCAGGCACGAGGUGUGGCUCGACAAGUUGGAGGGAUGGCCCCCUGGUUCUCAGGCCCGGUCUUCUAGUUCAGCCGAGACGCACCGUCCAUCUCCAUAGCGGGGACAUCCCAGGCAGCAGCGGAGUAGCCUCCAAGGAAAGCCGGACCAAGCGUGAGCACGACAAGUAACUCGAGGCGCUGCACCGGUGACCAGUGAGUGUCCCCUCCCAAUCCCAUCCCCCCCUCUGUAACUAUAAGGGUUUCGUUCUGAUUCAUGUUGGUGAACGGGAAGUACAUUUGCUCUUGCACAUUUGGUCAGAUAAAUGUGAAGAUUUUUCUGGUUUACAUGCAUUAUCUGCUACCAGUUCGAGCAUAUACACAGUAUGACAUCCUAGCCCAAGAAUCUAGUUCAAGUGAAGUUGUAAUCUUAAAGAAUUGUACUUGGUAUUACAAUAACUGAGUGUCUUACUCAAUUCCUUGAUCGAAUUUGAAAUUUUGGUGUGUCUCAGAAUGAUGCUCCUUCUGAUGGACUGAAUGAUUUUACGGAAUUUAUUCUCAUGUGUGUGCAGUGGGAGUCUUGUACACGAAGAAGUACUACAAAUUGGCCAAGCACCAGUAUUGGAUGCGUCAAAUCUCGGACUGAUCAAACCCAACAGCCUCGUUCGGUUCAGGGGGAUGGUUCAGGACAUGCUCGGGGCGAGUUCUAUGCCGGCUCUUUAGAGGUACUGAAAUGAUUUUAUUGAUAGGCUGUGGUGAAGCUACAGCUCAUGCUUCUUAUGCUCAUUUGUAAAAAACAUUGUUUGUGAAGGAUGUGCUACCUGGAGGACAAAAAAGUUCACAGACUUCUCACCAUUCUCGAUGAUGUACCCAUGUGAUUCGCAUCUCUGGGAGCACCAUCUCUGCCAUUGCGUGCCUGUAUGUUACUACAUGCCUGAGCACUUGUUUUUUUCACUUUCUUACCAUUAGUGUAGUUCACCUGGAACUUAUGAAAAUAACUUCUUUAAGGUGCAUAGGCAGAAUUCUUGGAUACUGGAGUCUCCCCCUGGACCUGUCUUUCGCCAAAUGGCAAACUGGUUGACACCUGANNNNNNNNNNNNNNNNNNNNNNNNNNNNNNNNNNNNNNNNNNNNNNNNNNNNNNNNNNNNNNNNNNNNNNNNNNNNNNNNNNNNNNNNNNNNNNNNNNNNNNNNNNNNNNNNNNNNNNNNNNNNNNNNNNNNNNNNNNNNNNNNNNNNNNNNNNNNNNNNNNNNNNNNNNNNNNNNNNNNNNNNNNNNNNNNNNNNNNNNNNNNNNNNNNNNNNNNNNNNNNNNNNNNNNNNNNNNNNNNNNNNNNNNNNNNNNNNNNNNNNNNNNNNNNNNNNNNNNNNNNNNNNNNNNNNNNNNNNNNNNNNNNNNNNNNNNNNNNNNNNNNNNNNNNNNNNNNNNNNNNNNNNNNNNNNNNNNNNNNNNNNNNNNNNNNNNNNNNNNNNNUUUGUUACAAUAAUGAUUCUCAACAGUUUUGAUGUCCACUAACCAUCAUUGUCAUCUAAUGCAUUGCUUGCUAUAGGUUUCAUUGUCAUCUAAUCAUUCUCAAUAGUUUUUUUCACUUUCAUGCAGUAAGAAACCAGCAAGAACCGAACUUAGUUUUCUACCAUUGUGAAGGGCAAAGUUUAGGAAGCAACUUAAUCUUUAAGCUCUCUAUUUUUUCAUUCCCCCAUAUGAAAUUGUCUCAUAAUCUAGUUGUAUUUUUUCCUGGAUGCUAUGCUUUCAUCGUAGGCCUUUUAUUCUUUAGGUAAAUUGGAGCUUUAUCAAAUUAUGUAUAUAACGGGUGAUCUUAUCGGAAACAUAAUUUGAGAACUACUUCAUGUUUUUAGUUGCUGUUUUUUAGGGACAAUUAUUGAACGGUUUGUGCAUAAAUAUCAGACCAUCCAGCCUAACGCAGUGAAGUCACUGCCCUAUUAGGAGUAGGAAAAAAAUCAGUUCUUCGACCACACAACUGAAGCCUGAUUGUACUUCAGUUUACCAUCAAAUGGCCAGUUAGUAAGGUCUAGUAAGCAAUCUAGGCAGACACAUACAAAGUUAACAUCAAGUGGUUGAGUUAGCAAGAUCUAGCAAGCAAUCUAGACACGUGACCUACAUGGGAAAGAAGAAGACACGGAAGGAAAAGAAAGGCAGUGAGAACCUUUACCUAGACAAUUCAGUUCGUUUGCCAAGCCAUCGUUGGCUGGGCCAACCUUCGUCUUUCUCCUCCGAGCCAGCACCAAGAUGCCCAUCUCAUCCUGGCCGAGGAACCGCGACCCCGGCAGCUCGCCACUGGCACCAAAACAGCAUCUAUCCGUCCUGCCAGCGCCUGUCCCGACCAUGUAGGCUGCAAGGGGCCUGACAAAUAAUUUUGUUCCACAAAUUCUUGUGUAAACGAACAACACUGAACAAGGAUCCCUACAAUAGUGUUCCUAGAUACCAAAAAUGUUAUGCUAAACAUGCUACUGAUUGUGCGAAACUCAAAUACAAUGCUUACCAACCAAUCAAUAUGCCAAAGUAGUAUUUUUUGCAUUCCUUCAGGCCAACACAAAUUUAGCCCAGGUUUGAAGCCAUAGUGUAGUGUCUGAGUAAACCUUGUUGUAAUAUAAAAAGUGACUACACAAAUGUGUUCUGCACAGUGGGAUGUUGGUGCAUCUGUUGCAUCGUUGAAGUGGUCGGUGUACUGACUACUGAGUAGUGCCCAGGUUCUGUAGCUAGUCAACACCAAUCAUGAGGAACAUAUAACUUCAUGAUCCUCAUGUACAUCAGAUAACUUUAUCAACGGGCAUAUCUAGUCAUCAUUUAAGGACAGAAUCAAGAAAGCAGAGGCAAAUGCAAGGAGAGAAUAAAACCAUUACGUCAUAUUACUGGUCGAAUAUAACUGAAGCGUAAUCUAUUGUCGGGGAUAGCUAGCUCCCAGUAAGCAAAGAUGAUAUCAGUUGAAACAAUAACUGCUGCUGAAAUAACAUGUUUUCAUGACCAAUCUAAUUUGCUUGUAACAAAAAAAUCUAUGUCUUAUCUUAUAUAAGAAGUAAAUCUACACCAGCAACCAACAGAACAGGGGAAGAAUGGAAAUUUCGUAGGAGAAAUUGUGUUGGUCAUUGCUAUAGCUGCAAGUUGAUGAACUAAAAUAUUCUCCAACUCAAGGGAGGCACCACCGUACAUGUAAGCUAUAUAGUAACUAUCUUCUCUGAACGGGCCGUCGUCAUUUAUCGUUUACACCAUUUUCUAGUUGUUGUUACAUUUAAGAAAAACCAAACUAAUACUGAAAACACGUAUGAUAUUUUAAAAAAUAACACAUAUGAAAUUAUGAACUAAUUUAGAACAUUUUUUCAUAAGAAAAGGUAAAAUAGAGUCAUAGGCUAUCAUAUUGUUGCAAGAACACUUUCUGGAAAUCAAAAUGAAAUGAAAUAAUCAUACAUCAGUCUCCGCAAGUCUCACAUAGACCAUCUCAUAUAUGCCAAUUUCAUGUCAAAUAAUGAGAUCAUCAUCAAGAUAUAUCUUCCUCAUUACAGUGCAAAGUAAUAGCCUACCCCAACUUGUUUGGGACUAAAGGCUUUGUUGUUGUUGUAUUACAGUGCAAGGUAAUCACAAAUGGCUGUAAAUCAAUAGUAAUUAUGUAUAAGCAUGCAUGAGAUCAAUACUCAGGCCGUAGUGGAAAUUAGUGGUAAAUCGAUAAACAAAAUCUGUAUACGCUUGAGAGAAAAUUAGAAGUGCAUCUAACCAUAGCAUGUGCAGGUCACAUACCAAUAAUAGAAUAGUUGGCGUCGGGAAAAUCCACCAGAUCUUUAAUCAACGGAAAGAAAGCGACCCUCAUCCUCUAGUUGUCUGUCAUCCUAUAACCAGCACUCCAUCGUGAAUAUCAAUGCUUCCUUUCAUUUCCCAAACCUUCUUCUUUCACAUUUUCUUGUAAUGAUUCCUUUGAACAAAUAUCUAACCACACAUGCUUGUGCCAGUGCUGCUCGCAUCAUGUUCUCCUGGAAUCUAAUAUGUAGGUCUAAAUGUUCCAUUACCAAAAAAACUGGACAUUGAAGAUUUGCAUUACCAGUAGCUUACUUAUUACUGACAUUCAUGUGGGAUUGGAAGAAAAUUCAAUUUGCCUUUAUUUUAGAAAAGGUUACCUAAAUAGUCCUAGGAGACGCAGCGGCCACAGUCCAGGACGUAGCGUCUAUGUGUACUGGGCCUUUGGUGCACGACCGCGCGUGUCGGUUGGGGCCUCACAUGCUACCCGACACAGUCCUGCACUAACAAACUUUUGAUGUUUCCCUCCUCCAAGGUUGUGAACAUGAGACAAAUUUUUUUUGUCUUCGACCACUAAUCAAGUUUAGAACUGGUCCAACAAUUUCGUGAGAUCUGAAAGAAAAAGACAUGAUGCCACAUGGAAAUAUCAUGGCCACCGAAGUGUAGCACUUAUGAGUUCAUGAAACCACUUUCGUGAAGGAAAAGAAGAAGAAUACUGCUGGCAGUACAUGAAGUAGCAAGCAUAAUUCAAACAAAUAGAGUCAUGCUUAGAAUUAGGGAGCAAAGAUGAUUUCAAGAAUAAAAGCAAAAAUUAACUCAGCAGUGCUCACAUUAGUGGUGUUGUACCGCAAGAUGGAUGCACUGCGGAAAGGGAUAGGUGCAUCCAGCGCCAGCUAGAGGCGGACGGAAGUGAAAGGCACCAUGGCAUCAAAACAAGGGCUGAGAGGACAAGCGCAUGCCUCCGCCUCAUCGCUGAUCUUAGGCAUCCCUGAUUUCUCCAUUACGCAACCAGGGAUAAGUUCUGUCAAAUUACAAAUCACUAUGGCUGGGAGCUGGUGUCACCAUGGCUUGUCCAAAUCAAGCACUUAGUUCUUCUGGAUUGGAAAGACAACAAACUGAAUAAUUAGUGCAGAAUCACCCUGCAAAUCAAACAUGUUUCUUGUUUCUUCGUGCAACAUAAGCCCUGCAAAUCAAACAUGUCAUCAGCUAACUGAACAAUUUCCACAAGCACUCUCCAUGCCCUACAAAUCAAACAUGUCAUCACAUAGAUUAGAACAAAAUUUGGACUUGUUAUUUUUGACACUGUAAUACAUUUAAUCAAGUGAUUUCUAGAUAAAUGUGGAGUUAGGAAACAAAAACUUGACAGUGAUUUAGGAAAUUGCAAAACAUUUGUGCAGCAAUAUUAACAACAAUUCUGGUCCUUUUAGUAUCUCCAUACACACAAAAACGUGACAACACUAUAGACGCUUCAUGUGCAAUGGAGAUAGACAAAUUGCCUCCUUUCAUAAAGGUCCAUUAUGGAUGAGAAAAUUUAAAUGGAAGAAAUUGAGGUUUUUGAGCUUAGAAAACAUGAUAAGGAAGCAUUCGCAUAAAUAUUUGCAGUAGAAAUCAUGUAUUUGAAUACCAAUAACUGGUAAUGGUUCCACAACAGAUGUCCACUUGCAACAUUACUACUCUAGCUGUCCGACACAUAACCCGGGAGGGAAUAUAACUCUAUUGUAGCAUCUACCACAUUAUAUACAGGUGCAAUCUGCAAAAACCUAGUGAGUAACCGUGAUUAUUUUAGGUCUGCCAAACCAAAUGCAACCAAGAAAAAAUACAUUGAUGAGAUGAAUGGCUGCUUACUUCUCCCCGGGUUUAGAGUGUAUUCCUUUUAGCAUUCUUUAGACUUCUCUGGUAGCUGGAAUAGCAAGAGAGAAUUAUUAGGUAGUAACUUCUUUGAAUUUACAUAGCAAGGUCGCUGCAUUGGAACUACCAAUAAGACUGGAACUUCAACAUGCACAAAGCUAUGAUUAGGUUUAAGAAGCAAUAGAGCUUCAAAUAUGACAAUAUUUCUUAAAAAAGUAAUAAUUAUCACAAAAUAUUUCACCUCUAUGUUCCGAUCCCCCCACAUUCUUCCAUCAAAACCCAACAUUCAAUAGGAUGCCAGUAAAGAUAAACCAUAUGGGAGACAUAACAUGUGCAGCCACACAAAAACUUUAAGAAGUGCAACCUGUCGAAAACAAAACCCAUACAAACAUAUUUGCACUGGUAAGGAGGUAUAUAAGUGUGAGAGUCAAAUGUCACAACUUGGUAGCUGUGAAAAUUCAUUUGCAAACCAUUUCGUUUGUGGCUAUGGAGGUCGUGAUGGUCUAGCAUAACCACCCCAUACAAAUGUUGCCCUCCUAACUGAUGGAUAGUAAUUUCCGAACAUGUGGUGUAGCAUGAAUCUAGUAGUAUACGCGCGCUUUGCCACGCCGUUUUGUUUCUAACGUUCAUAGGUUUGCGAGGUGUGGUAAAAAUAGUUUGACCUUUGUAAUUUGGCUCAUGUACAGUAUCUCCCAUGAUAUACCUAAGUGGAUGUGAGGAACAAUAUAGAUCGUGCUAUUCAAUUGACAAAUAAAGAUACAUACAAAAAAAAGAUAAGCUAUGCAAAAUAAGAUAAAAUGGUUCUCAUCUAACCUCAAAUAAUGCCUGCUCAAAUGCAACAUUAAUCAGCUUAUUCUGAAAAUGUAAAUACAUGAAGUCAAGACAACUUGAAUCACCAAUGGUACUAAAAAGAUUUACAGGAAGUAAAGAAACAUCGGAUAAGCAUGCGGCCGUCCUAAAAUUUUCUGGAAAAUGAGUCAGAUCAGAUUCGUGAGCAACAUACAACAGAAAUCAAACCUGCAUAUUUUGUUCCUCAUACUGAGAUACAUUUUGGUUUCAACAAGUGCUCAAUGGGAAAACAAACUCUUUAUACUCCAUUGAUGUACUACAAUAGCAUUUAAGAAAAUUAGAAUUAUCACAAGUUAUCAUUUAUAGGAGAAGCGACAGUCAUAUAUCUCCAAAAUCACUGAACAACAAGAUUUGGUCACAAGCAGCUGCAAAAUCAUUUAUAGGAGAAGCAGUACAUCAUAUUGCUAUGAAAUAUCUCCAAAGUCACCCACCAUCACUUCAGGUUGAAUAGCAUUAUCUAAGGUCUAUUAUAGGCAGAAUAAUCAUGAGGGGCACAUGAAGGAAGUAAAUUUCUUACAUGAACAACAGUCAGCUGGUCCGCGUCUAAUGCAAGUCAGUGCAGCCUCUAAUCAACAUGCUUGAGCGAACAUGUUGAGCAAACAUACUGUGGAGCACAUAUAUUCAUGUCUAGCAAAAAAAAGGUCGAUUAUAGAUUAAUCAAGGGUAGUAGUUCAAAGUAGCAUCAGACAAACCCGUAUAUGUGGAAUACUUAAUCUUAUCUAGCUCAUCAUCCUCACCCUUUGUUCCAUAAUGUGCCACUGCAGCAGCAGUAGCAGCUUAACACAAAUUAGGAGUGAACAGCCAACCAAUCAAUCUGCAACAUGAGGGAGAGGCUUGAGACGGAAGAGCCAUGGCGGCAGUGCCAGGUUCUCUCCGUCCGCAAGACAAAGAGGACUAUCAGUAUGCUUAUCAGCCGCACCGUCCGUCCACGACUGCGCCGCUGGACGGCACCGACCCAUGGCUUGAGGCCAGCAUUACCCUGCUUUUCUGCAACAUAAAACCAUCUACCGGAGUAACAGGCGCUGACAGACAACAGCCCGCUCAAGAAAUUAAAGGAGGAAAGAAGAAGGGCAAACCUAAAAGUAACGAAGAAGGAAGACCAAGCAGGGGGAGUCGACCGCACCGAGACGGGCAGGGUUGUCGAUGCAGGUGAGGGCGAGGGCGGGGUCGAGGGGCUCCACGAACUCCUCAACGCAGCUGACGCCGGCAUCGAUGCGCGGGCGGCGCUUGAGCGUGAGGACGGCGCGGGAGGGGUCGCGGUCGUCGGUGCCGUAGAGGCGGACGUCCCGCUGGGCGGCGGUGGCGGCGGCGGCGGCGGCGAGGGGCCGCGCGGGGGCGUCGGUGCGGAGCAGGCGGGGCGCGAGGAAGGAGGAGAGGCUGGAAGGGGCUUGAUCUCGAUCUCCAUGGGGUUGGGGUUGCGGCUAGGGCUGGAAGGGGCGGGCGGCGGCGUCUAGGGAUCGAGAGGAGCGGACGAAAAAACCUCCGAAAAAAAACCUACGAAAAAAAAUCAGUGGAGGUGGGACGAAAAAAAACCGAACGAAAGUGGCGGGACGAAAAAAAAUUUGGAAGCGAGACUACCAACUGCUCCAUUAGGAGUAGAGAUUUCGCUGUGCCAUUUUCCAUCUUUUCCGAAGGACGGAACUGGUCGGCCUGAAACCGAUCUCGUCUCGUGAUCUCCCUUUCCCUCGCCGCGACAUCUCCGCUUCGGCUUCGACACGUAGUCCGCGGCGCAGAUACGCUGAGACGGCGGCGAGCCCCACCCGAAAGCCAAGAUCUGCCUCCGACGAGUAGAGUAGGUAGCUGCGGGCUCUCCAUGUGACAAGACAACGCGGCCGGCCGACGUCGCGCGCGCGCGCGCGCAUUCAUUCGCGCCCAACAAACCAUGAACCAAGCCUCGCAGAUUCGGGGACGGUGCAGCGGCCGACCUCGCAACGCCCGUGUGGUUGCCGGUUCAAAUCCGGGGGACAGAGACGGUAUGGCGCCCAUGCCGGCCGCGCUUGCCGGUGCACCGCUACCGGGUGGACACGCACGCACUGCGCCCCGGGCCGACGGUUACAUGCGAUGUUAGGUGAGGCUGCAGGCAUGCUGACUCGGUGCUGCGUGGGGUCUGACUCCGAACAGGACGUGUAGAUUUGUGGGUAGGGUAGCACGAGCGGAAACUUCGAUGGGUGGGCAAGCUCGGCUUGGAAGAGUACCAACUGCCAAACUGUUGUUAGCGGUGUUCUGGUCGAUUUUCAGUGAAAUGGCUGUGAGUGAGUCAUGUUCGCCCUGGUUCCACGUCGAUGAAUCGAUGGAUCAUGGUUAGAGGUCCAUUGCGGCAGCGAUCUCGGGAACAAACUCUUGCCGCCCUUGCGUUGGACCGUCAACAUUACAAACCUAGAUGAUGUGUACACAUAUAUGGUCCACGUGCAUGCACAUAUAUGGUCUACAUGCAUGCAUGUUACUGAUAUUAUGAUACAGUAGUAUACUUUUUUUUUUGCGGGAAGAUACAGUAGUAUACUGUCUGAGUGCAGUGCACGAGACGAAAGUCAUCUACACAGGCAUGGCAUCGAUCCCUACAAGAAAACUUAUGCAUCCUACUGGUCCUUGCACUGCGCAUCGAUGGGGUCCGUUGUUGCCCCCGACACGGCGCCACCCGCCUUUACCCGUAAUCCGGUGGGAGCGAGAAUGUGCAGGCACAUGGGGCGCUUCCUGGAAAGCGGCAGAGAACCCACCGCACGUAGCCAUCUCGCCAUGCCAUGCCCCGAUCCCAUAGAGAAAUCUCGAAUCGCGCUUUCGAGCAAAUGAAUAUACUGCACCUGGCCCUCCCAUGGAAAUGGAAAGGGGGCAAGGGCCAAGGGCCGCUAAAGCUCCGUCUCUAGCUAGGUUGGCCAGGCCGAAUUAGCCAAGGAAUGACGCGGCCAGCUCCACACACGAACGUGGACGACCGCGCGCGCCUUUCUGAUCCGCCGGUGACUCGGCCGGCCCGGCUGCUGACUCCGCAUGUCCGCUGCCUUUGCCAAAAGGAUCCACCACCGCGCGCGGCCGCCUAUAAAAGCCCGGCCACCGCAGCGGCACUCUGGUACCAAUCCCCGAUACCUUACUCGCUAAGUUAAGCCACCACCACCAGCGCAGCGCAACGCACGCCGGACCUAGUUGAUCGCUCGUUCUUCGUCGAGCUUCCUGCAGCAGCCAGCCAAGAUGAAGUCGAGCAGCGGCGGCCAUGUCGUGGGAGUCCCGGUGACCUCCAAGGCGUAUGGGAUUGAGGAGAAGGCGCCGUCGGCCAGGGACGGCCAGUCGUUCAGGAAGGCCGACGGCGACCACCUUGCUGUCUCCUUGACGAAUCCUAGCCCCUACACUUCUUUCGGCUACAAGCACAGUAGGUCCCGAUCAUUCAUGCAUGCAUGGCCAUAUUUUGCCAUCGAACUUCUGACGCAUGCAUGCAAGAGCAAAGAUGUUGAGGCUUAUGCUAGUGUGUUGAUUCUGCAGGCAGCAAAGGUCAGGUUGUCCACUGGGUGAGCAAGCUGAGCAGAAGGGCGCAAGGCUUCCGUGAGCAUGGUGAGUAGCACGCACUCGAUCGUGCAUGCAUGUUUCUUCUGUAAUUCAAUGGCUGUUAAAUGUUGGUGCGUGAAAGGUGCUUGUGUUCUGACCAACAUUGUUCACCGUAUGCAGUGACCCUGGGUCCCAAGAUAUCGGAGACCGUGAAGGGGAAGCUGAGCCUGGGGGCCAAGAUCCUGCAGGCCGGCGGGAUCGAGCGCGUGUUCCGGAAGGCGUUCACGGCCGAGAAGGGCGAGCGGCUGGUGAAGGCGCUGCAGUGCUACCUCUACACCACCGGCGGCCCCAUCGCCGGGAUGCUCUUCGUCUCCACCAAGAGGAUCGCCUUCCGCAGCGACCGGCCCGUCACCGUCACCUCCCCCAGGGGCGACGUGGCGCGCGUCUCCUACAAGGUGGUCGUCCCGCUCAAGCGGAUCGACAAGGUGCGGCCGAGCGAGAACGUCGACCGGCCGGAGGAGAAGUACAUCCACGUCGCCACCGUCGACGGCUUCGAGUUCUGGUUCAUGGGCUUCGUCAGCUACCAGAGGUCCUGCAAGUACAUGCAGCAGGUCAUCGGCGGUGCCGAGCUGCAAUGACUAGCCGAGCGGAGGAAGACGCGAGGCCCGCCGUUUGUUCCGUCGGCACGAUGAGAAGUGGAGUUGCGGGCUGCCGCUGCUGCUGCGCCAUCUUUUGCUGUGGAGCAGCAGGAGCAGCCCUGGCUGGAAUUGCUCGAUCUUAUUUCGGAUCGGAGCAACUUGGAUCCUUCCGCGUACGAUUUGGAUUGGCUUAUGUUUUUCCAAGCGAUUGCUUAAUUUGUACUAGGAUGGACAAAGAAAUUAACCGUGCUGCAUGUGAAUGAAUGGGAAGGCAGUUGUUCAAAAUUAUUGUCCUUAUGCAUGAUCUUAACUCUUAAGCUUCCAUAUAUCGAAUUUGCGAAAAUAUGAGACGAAUACAAUUGAACCAACUAGUAUCAGGCCGCUUCUAGGGGGUGCAAACGAGUCGACUUUAAGCAACCUAGACAUACCUAGGCUCAGCACAUGUUAACAAGGAGCUAGCUCAACAGAACUCUAGCUGCCCUAACAAAAUGAACUCUAGAUAGAAUUACAAUUGCAAAGUUGGCUGAUAGUUGGUUAGUAAUGAUCUUGAGUCGAUCUCAGGCCAUUUUUAGAAGAAGAAAAAUACUAGAAAUUAUUCUGAUUUUCAUCCUCUUUCUCCAGAUAAAGUACCUAUGGUACUCGAGCUAUGUGGUCAAAAUAGAAAGAGCUGGCCUUACUCAAACUCGGCUAACUAUUGAACCGAGCUAUAAAGAAGCUCAUACUCAACCAAUUUUCUUUUGAGUCUGUCUUGAGUCAAGCUCUUUUUCUUUUUCUUUUUCUUUUUGCUCUUGAGCGGUUCACGAGCCUUGGGCUUUUCUUGCAACCCGUUUUGUCCUGACAGACGAUUGUGCUCGAAAGUUCUUCUCUCACAUGUUCAACUUCUUGUUCAUGGGCUUCUCGAGCUAUCAGGAUUACUUGCGCCAUUUUUUAGACCUAUUUUCUUUUACUCAAUACCCAUUUCACAGGCUUGGGGGCGGAGAAAAAACCUUGAACGUCACUCAUCCAAAUAAAUCUUAUUUUGACGAACNNNNNNNNNNNNNNNNNNNNNNNNNNNNNNNNNNNNNNNNNNNNNNNNNNNNNNNNNNNNNNNNNNNNNNNNNNNNNNNNNNNNNNNNNNNNNNNNNNNNNNNNNNNNNNNNNNNNNNNNNNNNNNNNNNNNNNNNNNNNNNNNNNNNNNNNNNNNNNNNNNNNNNNNNNNNNNNNNNNNNNNNNNNNNNNNNNNNNNNNNNNNNNNNNNNNNNNNNNNNNNNNNNNNNNNNNNNNNNNNNNNNNNNNNNNNNNNNNNNNNNNNNNNNNNNNNNNNNNNNNNNNNNNNNNNNNNNNNNNNNNNNNNNNNNNNNNNNNNNNNNNNNNNNNNNNNNNNNNNNNNNNNNNNNNNNNNNNNNNNNNNNNNNUUCGGCCAGUUCUCUUGGAUUUUUUUUCCUUUUGGUUUCGGUUUGCAUUUCCCUUUUUUGCCCUUUAUUUCCCCGUUUAUCGCUUUUUCGUGUUAUUCUGUGAUUCUAAUUUCCUUUUAUUUUCUUGUAUUACUUUUUUAUUUUAUGUUUUUAUAAAUUAUUUAAAAUAUGAUGAACAAUUAUCAAACACAUAAUAAAUACUUUUUAAAUACGUGAUCAACAUUUUUAUAAUACACAUGAUAGAGUUUGUAAUACAUGGUGAAUAUUUUUCAAUUUUUUAAAAAAAUCUUAUAAAUAUUUAAACUUGCUUUAACAAUAUUUAAUACGAACAUCAUAGUAUGUUUUACUAUUCUUACUAUGACAGCACUUUUUUGAACCGGGAAAUCUAUAUGCAUUUUUACGAAAAGGAAUGGUUGUUUGCCCGACAAUUUGCGGACUCACUCAGCCAUCCAUGUAACCCAUCGACCACUGCAGUUGUGAUACAAGAAAAUCAAGCCCACCUGCCACCGAUCAACUAGAAAAGAUGGCGCAUUGAAGGACAGGCGUGGCUAUACCUCGGUUGCUGCGAAAGGUAACGCCUCAUCGCCUCAAGGAAUGCCCCCCUAAUGGGCUGGUGCAGUGACACUUUGUUCAUGGGUUAGUUUACCUUUUUUUUCAUUUUUCCUUUACAGUUUUGUUUUAUAUAUUAUAAAUAUAUAUAUCCCAUAAAAUACUCUACUUCAAUUUUUUUAAACAUUCACUGCACAGAUAAAAAAUGUCAGAUUCUCAACAUACAAAAUAAAAAAUGCCAUGCAGUGAAAAAACAGUGUUCACCCAUGCAAACAAUGUUCAUGCAACCGAUAUGAAUGUUGAUGCAGCCAGAAAGUAUGCACGACAUUAAAAAAAUGUUCAUGUAUAUCAACAAUAUGUUAAUUACGUUUAAAUUUUCUAACACAAUAUAGAAAAGCCCGCGUAAUUUUAAAAAAAAGUGUAUCUUCAAAAAAUAAUGUGAUAUGAAAAAAUCAUGAAAUUUGUGAAAAUUGUCCCUUAAAUGUAAAAGCAUUUGUACAGUUAAAAAUGUUUUGUGCAAUUAAAAAAGUGAACUUGUAUUAAAAAAAUGUUUAUGUUUAUUAAAAAAAGUAUUUAAAAAGUGUACAUCAUGUCUUCGAAAAAUGUUCAGCGUUGUUCAGAAAAAAUGUUAUGGUGUACACGAAAAAUGUACAACAUGUAUUGAAAAAGGUUUUCAUUCAUUUUUAAAAAAAGAAGAAAAUGAAGAAGAGAAAUAAAUUGAAGCGAAAAACUUAAGAAACACAAAAACUGAAGAAAGAAACAUAGAAAACCGAAGAAACCUAAAUUAAAAAAUCGGGGGAAAGGAGUAAAUACAAAAAAUGAAUGAAAUUGAGAAGCAUCCAUAAAUCUCGCAGCGGGUGAGAAACAGCCCGGGCGGCCACCUUUGCUGCUUGCCGAUCGAGGGUGGCGCCGCGCCCCGCCCGGCUGUUUCCCCCUCAAAGCAGGCAAGACAUACCAUGCCGCCGAAGCGGUUGGUGCAUGAUGCAAACGAGCCCCGUACGUGGCGUUUGCAAAACCUGGUCGAUCGGUGCCGAUCCGCGUGUCCCGAUCGACCAUAGCUUAUGUGUUGAGCUUGACGUAGCUGGAGCUCGGAGGAGCCAAAUUAGGUUGGUUGGGGAGCAAGCUGGCUAGCCGGACGGAUUCGCAACGGCUUGCGUAUGCAUUUGUGUGAGCGGUGACGAGUACCGAGCUCAAAACAGAAAAAGAAAAAAAAAAGAAAAAACAAGGAACGAGUGUAUCGCGCACGCCUAGUCGCGUAUGCAUUUGAAUUUGAAUUUGAUAGAUCUUCUGCGUGUUGUUUAAUUUGCUUACUACAAAGAGUGUAUCCACUGACAGCUCGCCCGUUGGCCACUGGCUGCAUGCAUGCAUGCCGGACUGUUUCCCCGUGCAUUCGUGUCGCCCAAUUUCCUAGAGCAUGGAAACUCCCACAGUAGUACCACAAUUCAAACGCUUGAUUCGCAUAAGGCCAUUUUUUUGUGUAUAUGGGAAGAUGUAGAACACUGAUAAUGACAACUUGACACGGUGACAGUCUCACAAAGGUGAUGCCAGCUACUUUUGGCAAACUUGCUUAAUAAAAAAUACAUACUCCCUACGUCCCAAAAUAAAUGUCUCAACUUUGUACUAACUUUAAUAUAAAGUUGUAUUAAGCUCGAGACAUUUAUUAUGGGACGGAGGGAGUAUUAAUUAGCACCUUCCAUCAAAUGAAAUAUACUUUUCAGUACUACCUUCCGCCAAAAUGCUAACUGUCCGCUGCAAUUUCGCUAAAUACUAGCCAUCAUGGGCGGGCAUAGAGUAGGGACGGUAUCUGGUGGCUUUUUGUUGGUCAUGCAGAUGUCCGGACUUUCGUAAAGCUUUCCCACAUUUGCCUUUGAUUUGCCGGAAAGAGUAUGUCCAAACUGCUCGACCGACUAAUGCAGGACCACGUUUGAUAACAAACUGAGUCCAGACACCGCGGUCCGGACGUUUGCGGGAUAUUUGACGAUCCGGCUUGGAGAUGCCCUAAGAUAUAGCAGUCCUAUGUAUAGAUCGGCACCGCAUGCGAUUCUCGUACGCACUUACUGGCGGCCACUGAGGGAUGGAAAGGAACAAACUUCACAUCACGUACAAAUCCACAAGAAGAAAAUAAUGCCAGGAACUCUACUUCCAGAUCACUUCACUAUAAAUACAGGCACGAAGCAUUCGUGCUGCCUCACACGAGCCACCGAAGCACACCCUAGCUUGGCCUCACUUAUCCUCGAGCACACGCCAGCAGAGGUUUCAGCCAUGAGUAGCCGCCGUGUUGGCCUCCUUCUCCUCUCCCUUCUGGCCACCACCCUCACGUGCAGCGCGGAUCCGCCGCCGGUGCACGACACGGACGGCAACGAGCUGCGCACCGACGCGAACUACUACGUCCUCCCGGCCAACCGCGCCCACGGCGGGGGGCUCACGAUGGCGCCGGGCCACGGGCGCCGCUGCCCGCUGUUCGUCUCGCAGGAGGCCGACGGGCAGCGCGACGGCUUACCCGUGCGCAUCGCCCCGCACGGCGGCGCGCCGUCCGACAAGAUCAUUCGGCUGUCGACCGACGUCCGCAUCUCCUUCCGCGCCUACACGACAUGCGUGCAGUCCACCGAGUGGCACAUCGACAGCGAGCUGGUGUCGGGCCGCCGGCACGUGAUCACCGGCC
rnacentral:lncRNA from 1 species